rnacentral:lncRNA from 1 species
GUUUUUUAAGUUAUAUCUAGUUAAUGCUUAAGAGUUUCGUGCUUUUGUCCCCAUAACCAUGGUUUAUCUAAGUAAGAGCUACUCCAGACCAUUGGAGUACCAUUUCCAGUCGUUUUUGGGGUUGCUAAGUACAAAAAUGAGAGUUUGUUCACUCUCAUCCAUCCAUGCAUGGGCUUUUGAACCAUAAAAGGCUUUUUGGACCUAGGGUUUGGAUUAGUGCUCUUUGUGUACAUGCAAAUGGAUAAAAUUAGAGACUUUAUCCAUUAAGACAUUCAUUUAGUAUAGAUCUAGAAGCUUGGAGGGUUAACUUUCCUUAUUAAGCACUUAAUAGGAAAAAUUGGACAACAACGUACUAUGCAGUGUGUAGUUUUGGCUACGCUGCAUGUAGCCCAUUUCUGUUUCGAUUUUCCACAUUAGGCUCUACGUUGGGUGUAGAGCUAUUACGCUGACCGGACAAUGGCUGGAAGUUGACUGUUAAAUUUUGACAAUUGACUGUUAACUGUUGACCAUUGACUUUGACCAAGUUUGACUUUAGGUCAAAUGAAACAUUUUGAACUGUAAAAGGAGACUUGUUCCCUGUUUGUUGUAUAGGUGACCUGUAGAACCGUUAUUUGAAUUUGUGAUCAGUUUAGCUAUCUUCUAGACUUUGAUGUGAGUUUUCACAUUGUACUUGUGGGUCGAAGGUACCAACACCGACCCACUAGAAUAUGUUAUGCAUCAUUUUUUAUAGGAUGUGCUAUGCUAUAGCGAUCUUUUAGAUCGAUAUAUUUGUAUGAUUACCUGUACUUACUGGUUAUUGAUAUUUUUUUGUAAAUGUCUACAUAAUAUGGUUAGGUUGAGGCCGUCCAGCUUUGUAUUGAAGGCUAAGAUACUUGGGUGGUCCAGUUGAUACUGUUGGCCCAAGGGACCAAUCCAGCUUACGUUGUAGGCUCGGGAGAGGUCAAUUAGGGCAUUAUUGGGCCCAUUAGGGUUUCAUUGGGCCCGUUAGUCAUAUAUUUGGGCUUUUAGGUUAAUUAGGGAUUUAUUGGGCCCAUUAGGGUUUUAUUGGGCCCACUAGGGUUUAUUAGGCACAUUAGGGUUUAUUAGGCCCAUCAGGGUUUUAGUCCCUUUGUCCAAACAUCCCAAACGAGUCACAACACAAACGCGGCACACCGCCGCCCAGCACGGCGGCUGGUGNNNNNNNNNNNNGGCGGCAGGAGGCGGCAGCCACCACCAUAUGGUGGUGGUUUUGAGCUUUCUUUUUAUUAUUCACUUUCUAAUUACAUUUUACUUGUUACGACGUAAAUUUCAAACCAAAAUUUUCCAUUUAAAAACACAUUUGUCUCAGUAAAUAAAACACAAAAUGUCACAAUGUCAAAUCAUCAAAUCUCAUAUAAAAAAUUGUUCAUAUUUCAAAACUCCAGGAUCUUCUAAAUCAUAAUUCAAUCACUGAUGUGUGUACAAUCAGGCUGGAGCCUUCCCGUGAUCCUUAGAAGUACCUGAAACACAUAACACAAAACACGGUAAGCACAAAUCUCAGUGAAUUUCCUAAAAUANUACCUGAAACACAUAACACAAAACACGGUAAGCACAAAUCUCAGUGAGUUUCCUAAAAUCCCACACAUAUCACAUUAGCCACUCUAGGCUAACUUAAUACGACCCUUUGGUCAAUGUGUUCCAGUGGAGACCCUCUGUCCCACCACUCGGGAGGACCCUACAGCCCUAACUCAAUAAGUUCAUAACAAUAAGCAUAAACCACAAGGACAAAAUGCAAAGUCGCACAAUACACAAAUAAGCACAUAAGACAUCUCAGUCACACAAAGAUACCACUCAUGGUAAGUAUAGUAAGAAGACUCACCUCGUAAGCUAGUAAGAAAAAAGUCUCAUGCUCGGAAAUCUCAACCUAGCCUCCGCCUAAUACAUAUGACAAUCAUCUCUAAUUAAUACUCUAUUCAUACUCAAUUACACCAAAGGUUGCUCUCUUUUUCUCUCAAAUUCUUGGAAUGGGUAAAAGCCCAUUUUACCCUUCCAUGGUCCCCAUUACUCAUGUUAACCAAACCCUAAAGUCAAUAGAAGUCAAACUCGAGUCAAAAGUCCAAGUUUGACCUGAUUCAUCUUCAACACUAUCUUAGUGCCACCCAUCACUCGUUGUCCUACCUCUCCCCAAGAAAUGGGAGUCCGACACUUUCUCCCAUAAAGAAGCUCAAAAGGAGGCAUAUCAAUACUCGAAUGAUAGCUUUUGUUGUAAGAAAACUCAGCCAAAGGAAAAUAAAUGUCGCAACAUCCUCCAAUAUCCAUAACACAUACACGCAUCAUGUCCUCAAGCGUCUGAAUCGUCCGCUCGCUCUAACCGUCUGUCUAUGGAUAGUAUGUAGUACUGAAGUGUAAGCCCACGACUGCCUGUCAGUAUAUGCCUCCUCCAAUAGUAUACGUCGAGCUCCGCCUGUAUAGGGCACCCAAAUCCAACCUCUAAAAAUCAUAAUCCCACGACUGUCCGACACAAACUCAGACACCUGCCCAAUCACUCGAUCCCUCUUACGGUUCUCCGGUCUCACGGCCUCCACUCGGGCCUCUCGAAUGGUAUCUAAAACUAGAGUCAUCACCAUCAUCCUCUUACACACAUCUCGGAGCAGAAAACUCUCAGCUUUACAACUCAAGACGUAGGCUAACACAUUAGUCUUGCUCGGAUGAUACAGGAUCUCGCAGUCAUAGUCUUUCACCACAUCCAACCAUCUCCUGUCUCAUGUUUAGGUUGGGCUGAUCCAUGAGAUACUUUAGGCUUUUAUGGUCUGUAAAUAUGGUACACCGAACACCAUACAGAUAAUGGUGCCAUAUUUUUAGGGCAAAUACCAUUGUACCCAGCUCGAGAUCGUGGGUGGGAUAUCUCGUCUCGUGAGGCUUCAAUUGCCUUAACGCGUAUGAUAUCAUGUGCGCCCUAUGCAUUAGCACCGCACUCAUCCCAGAUAUAGAUGCAUCGUAUUAUACCACAAAGUCCUCCACUCCCUUAGGAAGGGCUAACACCGGGGCUCGUACAAUUUCUGGCAAAGUGUCUCAAAUGAGGCCUGCUUCUCGGGACCCCAAAUAAAAGUAACACCCUUCCGAGUGAACCUGGUGAGGGGGACGACAAUCUUGGAUAAAUCUUUGAUAAAUCUCCAAUAGUAGCUAGCCAAUCCAGAAAACCGCAUAUCUCGGAUGGGGAUCUCGGCACCUCUCAUCGCAUAACUGCCUCAAUCUUGGUCGGUUCGACCAAUAUCCCAUUCUGAUUAAUGAGGUGUCCCAGGAACUGGAUCUCUCGUAACCAGAAUUCACACUUGGAGAAUUUGGCAUACAGCCUCUCCGAUAUCUAAACCCCAAGAAUCUCUCUCAAAUGCUCCUCAUGCUACUCUCUGGAUCUUGAAUACACUAAGAUAUCAUCGAUGAACAUGAUCACCAAUCGAUGCAAGAUGGGCCUGCACACCCGGUUCAUGAGAUCCAUGAACGCCACUGGUGCAUUGGUGAGCCCAAAAGGCAUCACCACGAACUCAUAAUGCCCAUAACGAGUCCUAAAGGCCGUCUUCUGGAUAUCCUCCUCACAUACUCUCAUCUGAUGAUAUCCCGACCUUAAAUCGAUCUUGGAAAACCAAGACGCCCCUUGCAACUGAUCGAACAAAUCGUCGAUCCUCAGAAGUGGAUAACGGUUCUUGACCGUCAAGUUGUUCAACUCCUAGUAAUCAAUGCACAUCCGGUGUGAACCAUCCUUUUUCUUGACAAAAAGGAUCGGCGCUCCCUACAGCGAGCUACUCGUUCUGAUAAAUCCCUUUCUCAACAGCUCCCGGAGCUUUGAGGAUAACUCUUGCAUCUCUGGUGGUGAAAGGCGAUAAUAUGCCCUAGCGAUAGGUGCCGCUCCCGGAACCAAAUCAAUCUGAAACUCCACUUGCCUCUUGAGAGGCACACCCAGUAGCUCCUCGGGAAAAACAUCAGGAAACUCACUCAUUAUUGGAACCUCGGCGAUAGAACUCGUUCUCUCAGUAACAACCCAUGUAUCCAACACAUAUGCUAGAUAGCUCAUACAACCCUGCUGUAGACUCUGCCUCGCCCUGGUAGCAGAGUAGAAAGUUGACCCCAGAUCUAGUACCCUCGCCAUACAAUGUAAUCACUCCCCCACUAGGAUCUCGUAUAGUCACCAACUGAUGCUCGCAGUCGAUCACAACUCCAAAACAACUCAACCAAUCCAUGCCUACGAUGACACAGACAUCCCCCAUCGUAAUCGGUACCAGAUCAAUCAGAAACUUGACACCAAAAAUCUCCGACACACACCCUCGGUACACAUCAGUAGCAAACACCGCAUGCUCGUCAGCUAUAGAGACCCUCAAAGGUCGAUUCAAUGCCUCAUGCUAGAUACUGAUGUGACGACUAAAAACUAUGGACACGAAGGAUCCACUCACACCCGAGUCGAAUAACACUAAAGCAGGUACAGAACUCACAAGCAAUGUACCAGCCAUGACAUCAGGUGUUGCGCACACCUCUUCUACUGUAAGUUGAAAAGCUCUACCACUAGCCCUCAGAACCUCGGCCUUCACUGACCGACUAUCAGCAGCACGCAAAGCAGCAGGUGCAGAUCCAUGUGUUGAUCCUUGACGAAGCUAGGGCACUAGACCUUCCGGUGGCCGGUCUGGUUGUAGUGGAAGCAAACUGCAAACCCCUUGGGGCAAUCCUUCUCCAUAUGCCCCUCCUUGCCACACUUGUAGCAAAUCCCCGCUUGGCACAACCCCUCGUGACUCUUGCCGCACUUUCCACAAGGGCGUCCCUUCUGGCCCCCAGUCCUCGAAUCACCAAGCUUAGCCCGCUUCGUUGUCGGCUGCGAUUGCACCGGCCUCCAAUCUCUGCCCUGAGACACCGCACCUCCCUAGCCUGAGUCUCCAGAUUGAUCUCCCUCCUCCUGGCAUUUGCCUGAGCUCAGCAAAUGUCCGAUAAGAUGAUUUCUCCACGACCUCUCGAAUAUCCCUCCUUAGAAUGCUCAAAUACCGGCUCAUGCGUACCUAUCCCGUCAACACAUGGUCAGGGAAGAACAAUGCCCUCUUGUGAAACAUCCGAGUAAUCUUAGUCACCGACCCUGUCUUCUGCUUAAGAGACAUAAACUCCUGGGCUAACCGUUCCCUCUCCACCGGGGGAACAUACUUAUCUCGAAACACCACAGUGAACCUCUCGCAAGUCACUACAACGUGCUUUGCCGAAGUAAAACUUGUCGUCACAAACUUCCACUAUUCCUUUGCUCCCAAGUGAAGCUGGUUCAGCGUGAAAUAUACCCUCAAUUUCUUUGGGCAUGAACAAGUGUAGAAACACCCCUCGAUAUCAGAAAUCCAUCUCAUCGCAGCAAUCAGAUCCCGUGUCCCAUCAAACUCUAGUGGCUUAAUGUUGCUGAACUCCCGGUACAGCAACGAGUCGCCUCCCCGUGGCCUGGCAGCAGCGACAACUACGGUGGCUGCAGCAGAUGCCGCCUUAGAAACUGCACAUAUCGCUCGUCAAACAUCUUGAUCAAAGUGGUCUUAACAAAACCAAACAUCUCCGGAAUAGCCUCUCGUAUGGUUGCGACCACCUCGUCAUGAAUCAUCCUACGAAUCUCAUCAUCGCUAACUCCACUACUCCCUGAGGUGUGGUGCGUACCUACCAUGAUGUUUCUUAAUCACAACAAAAAUCAUCAGAGACUCUCUCGAGCAUACUCACACUCAACUACUCAUCCCCACUUGCUCUUUAUCAUCUUAAGGAUUCUUACUUGGAUUUCCUGCAGACCGAGUGCUUUCAGUAGUACGGGCCCAAUACUACCUUCCACAUCCCAUCUGUAGUCACCCCAAGUCCUCCUCCUAGAAUUCUAAUUCACAAAUACUCUAUAUCUCACGAAUCACAGACUACUCUCUCAGUAGACCCAUAUUAAGCUCAUUUAAGUAUGUCUUCCUAGAUUAUCUCCUGACUCAGAACGUAGCACAUACUCAAGCAAAUAACAGAUAACACUGAUCAAAAGCAUUCCCUAGGCUAAGGCAUCACAAAGCAGACAAUUCUAGCCCUAGAAUAUGAAAUACCUAGCCUACCUUCUAAAAUGAAAUUCUAAUAAAAUAUCUCAUAAUUAUUUUAUAAUACAAAAGUAAGGGUAUUUUGGGAAAUCACCGUUCGGGCUCUGGCUGAUUAUACAAACUGCUUCAACUUGUUUUCACUUAAAACUCUUUCUCGUUUUGGAAAAGAAUUCUUUUCUUUUGAGAACUCUUCUCAAAUCCUCAGUUUGACUCCAAUCACACCCGGAGGUGCAUCUGAAUCCCUCAAACCGAGGCUUUGAUACCAAGUUGUAAUGACGUAAAAUUUCAAAUAAAAAAUUUCAAUUUAAAAACACAUUUGUCUCAAUAAAUAAAACACAAAAUGUCACAAUGUCAAAUCAUCAAAUCUCAUAUCAAAAACUAUUCAUAUUUCAAAACUCCAGGAUCCUCUAAAUCAUAACUCAAUCGUUGAUGUGUGUACAAUCAGGCCGGCGCCUUCCCGUGAUCCUUAGAAGUACCUAAAACACAUAACACAUAACACGGUAAGCACAAAGCUUAGUGAGUUCCCCAAAAUACCACACAUAUCACAUUAGCCACUCGAGGCUAACUCAAUAUGACCCUCUGGACAAUGUGUUCCAGUGGAGACCCUCCGGUCUCACCACUCGGGAGGACCCUCCGACCCUAACUCAAUAAGUUCAUAACAAUAAGCAUAAACCACAAGAACAAAAUGCAAAGUAGCACAAUACACAACUAAGCACAUUAGACGUCUCAGUCACACAAAGAUACCACUCAUGGUAAGUAUAGUGAGAAUACUCACCUCGUAAGCUAGUAAGAAAAAGUCUCCUGCUCGAAAAUCUCAAACUAGCCUCCGCCUAAUACAUAGGAUAAUCAUCUCCAAUUAAUACUCUAUUCGUACUCAAUUACACCAAAGGUUGCUCUCUCUUUCUCUUAAAAUUUUGGAAUGGGUAAAAGACCAUUUUACGCCUACAUGGUCCCCAUUACUCAUGUUGACCAAACCCUAAUGUCAACAUAAGUCAAACUCAAGUCAACAGUCUAAGUUUGACCUGACUCGCCGAGUGCACUCAUGUGACUCGUCGAGUCCAAUCGUCCCACAUAAGUCUUCAUGAAGGUCCAGCACGUCAAGUUAACCCCUAACUCGCUGAGCUAUAGCAUGGCCAGCUCAUCGGGACAAACCUUAACUGAAUCAUCGACUCGGCGAGUGUGACAACCCGAUGUUUCAACCUUAUGUAAUGACCUAAAAAGUCAAGUAUUGUAGCUACCUUUGAAAUAAUGAAAUUAAAUUCGAAAAUGAAAUAUGUAAAAGUCAUUAUAAGAAUAUCUAUUAUGUCAGAUUUUGUGCCAAGGUUUACAAAAAGACUAAGAACACUAAAAUCCGAGUUAUAACGAAGAAGUUAUGACCAUUCUAAGAUUUCCGACAAAACCGGCAACACCGAUUAAACGAAAAACACGAAGUUUCAAUACAAUAGCAUUUAGCCUUAAGUAUCUAAAUGAAAGUUAUAGAUAACAUUAAACCGUGAGCUUACACAAAAAGAACGUCCAAAUCUGACUUCGUAUGAGGAAGUUAUGAUUUUUCCAAGAUCCGAAUAUAACAGUAGACAGCUAAAAACUCGAAAUAGAGCCCGAGAGACUUUAGACCGAAACAACCUAAAUGAGAAUCGAAUGUCUCAACAAUAUUAGCGCAACGGCGAAAAGUCUGGCGAAAAUGGACAUCGGAUGAAGAAGUUAUGGAUUUUACACGGACUUUUCGUGUCCCGGCCCGUUAAAAAUAAAUAAUUAAAAAUAAAUUCAAAAUUUGCCGAAUNUCAGAAUUUGCCAAUGAAGUAUAAACGAGAGUUGUGGAUCAUAUUUUUAGCUACGCGUUCAUAUAAAGAACGUCGAAAACGGAGCUCGUACGCGAAAGUUAUGGAUUUUACAAGUUCGGGGUCCAAAAUUCGAGGCUGUCAUGUUUCCCCACGACGUGGCACAGUUUUUCCACGACCCGGCAAAUGACUGAGGGCGUCCAAUCAAUGGAAGAGGAUAGACUUUCUCCCCACGAUGUGACCAACCCUAGCCACGACGUGGCACUCAAAAAUACCCCCUAUAAAUAGAACUCUUGGGGUGCCGGGUUUAGGUGCUCCAUUCUUCCCUCUCUCGUGCUGAAACUCUGCGGUUAAGCUCUCGAAGCCCUCCCGAAGCCCCGGUUUUCACACUCAAUAUCUGAAGGAAGGUUCUACUCUCCCGAGAUUCCCGAGAUUUCCGAUAUUCCCGAGAAUCCUGAGAAAAUAGACUUUCACAAGCCGAAGUUCUGCUCGAUUUUCAUCUCGCUUUCCCCAAUCAAUCAAGUGAGUUCAUACCCCUAUAAACUACACUUUCAAAUGUUUAUCACUGCUUUUUAUACACUUUUAGGGGGGGGGGAAUACAAGUAAACACAUGGUUAUUAUCGUGUGUAAUAUAAAGAUUCAAUAUAUACUCUUUUCUAUCAAGUGAAUCAUACGUGAUUCAUAACUACUACAUGGGAACUUUUGCAUGAAAUAUAUAUUCACGAUAACAUCUUGACUUUUGGAAAUAAAACAUGUUUNGGGGGGGAAAUACAAGUAAACACACGGUUAUUAUCGUGUGUAACAUAAAGUUUCAAUAUAUACUCUUUACUAUCAAGUGAAUCAUAUGUGAUUCAUAACUACUACAUGGGAACUUUUGUAUGCAAUAUAUAUUCACGACAACAUCUUGUCUUUUGGAAAUAAAACAUGUUUAUAUAUAUUUAUAUAUAUGUGAAUCAAACCCUUUAUUUAUACUUUAAGUAUAUGUGAUCAUUUAUGUCACUUUAGAUGUUAUACUUUACAUAACAAGUGAGCAUUACACUAGGAUUUACUAUACGAACGAAACACACACUUUGAAUAACUAUAAUAGGUAUAGUUUACGAGGAAAUCAUGAACAUUUACAUACUAGAAAUACUAUAUCAAAGAGAUAUUUUCAUAUUCAAGAACAAAUGGACAUUUUCAUACGUAAAUCUAUUUUAUACUAAAUUUUGUGAGACAUUUCACGUACCUUCGAGUAUGCAUUUUCAGUCCUGUAUUAUAUACCAUAAUCCCUUGUAGGGGGAGCGUGAUACUUGUGUAUAGAUCUAUACGGGAUUGACAAUACCGCACCUGAGCUGUUACCUACAGCUAGGCCGGCAAGCCUGGGGUGACAAAUGUCAUAACAUAUCAACGCCUGAAGAACGUUGUUACAGGCAGUCUGGGUCAUUAGUAUGGUUAUAAAACUCACAUAGAGUAUUAAGAACUUAUUGAUUUACCGGGUUAUCAAAUGCCUUAGUGCUUUUAUACUUACAAAAAUUUACUACUCUAGGCAUGAAAAACACGAUUGCAUUUCAGUGUUGGAACUUUUAAACCACCACACACUUAUGAACGGAUAUUGGAUUUAUAAAAAGAAAACCUUCAAAACAGUCGAGUCUUUCUAGAAGACUACUUUUAUACUAUUAGGAAAUAUUGGAUCUCCUAGGAGUCUUUGGAAACAUUUACAAACAAAUAUCAUUUGAUUUUAUUCAAACAUUGUCACUAAAUACUUAUGAACUCACCAGCUUAAAUGCUGACCUACUCUUUCAAAACUACUUGUAUUUCUCAGGGAUUUAGUAAUACAGGUAAACUACUGCUUUUGAAGAAGGGACGCUGCAGCGUUAGUUUAAUUUCAUUCUGACAACAUAUUGUAAUUGAUAUUUUGGAACCUGUAAUACCUACAAACGAUGUAACUUUUUCAAUUAUAUAUAUGUUGGUUGUGUUUGCUUUCUUUACUAUGUAUUCAACUGUUUCGAUACUACAUGAAGUCAACCGCCCUCGAACGAUUCCGUCGUUCUGGUUUGGGGGUGUCACAGAUUGGUAUCAGAGCAUUGUUUAUAGUGAACUAAGUAUAUCGAACCACAUAAGAUAUACAAACUAUAAAUGCAACGGGACUCAAAGUCUCUGACAAAACACUUUCACACCUAAAACCUUAUUUCAUUUAAAUUAGAUUGUUUUGGGUCGUAAAAGUACAAACAGAUGCAUGCAACAAUAUAUUUUUAUGGUUAGAAAUAUACAAGAAGUAUUAAGACAAGUUGGACACUACGAUUAGGACUCGACAUAUGUAAUCGGAUUUGGGAUGAAUAUAGCCUGAUCAACUAUAUUUAUCCGAGAUUGGAAUAAUGUGUGUCGACGAAUGGUCGUAGUGAGCAACAAGUUAAAACUUACCAAAAUAAACAUUAGUAUCAAACAUACAAAUUUAAAUUCUAUAGGAGUAUCUGGUACGUGCAAUAGUUUAAUCGACAUGCUUAGUUUUACAUGCUUCAAGUUUUAUUCAAUUCCUUUAACCCUAUUCUCGUAUAGUCAAAUGGCUGGAUUCAUUCCACACGGAGACCCCUACUAUCUCAACCAAGGUAACGGAGGAUGGGUCGAAGAAGAUCCCGAAGAGGAUGAAGAUCCUAUCGAGUUGGAUGAAGGGGAUGACUCUGGGACAGACUCAGAACCAGCAGUAAUCAACCCACCACCCACACAACCCCUUGUCUUUGUGAGAAACUUUCAAGGACCGACUCCCGUUUGGGGAAGUCACCUCCACCAUUGGAGCCAGCAACAAGGGAUACGUCCUCCCUACGGCAUGUGUCGGGAUUUCUACGAUGUCCAUGGCGGAGGUUCGGCCGAUCGAGCACUCCCAGUCAUGGUGGGCAAGCUAGCCAACCAGUUCUAUCAAUCUGGGGUUCAAGCUAGCCGGAUUCAGGAAGUCAACGUGGAAGUACAGGUGCACACUUCCGACAUCUGCCGGCUGGAUAGGUUGCAGGAUGACACCCAACUCCGUGCCGAUGCAUUCCAAGCACAAAUGAUUGCAGCCAUCUCUGAGCUGAGGGAACAACAAGCCGCCUUAGAUAGGCGCCUUAUGGAGGCAAAGCAAUCAGACGCAGAGUCAAGCUCCAAGUGCAACCUAUGUCGCAAGUAGUGCUUGUUGAUCCCAAAAUUUUGAUAUAGAAUAGGACCAUCAGCUAAAAGUCUUACUUUCUUUAACUUCCUGUAAUCGGAGACCUUUAGAAAGGUCAAAAUUUUCUAACUUCUGAUGUAACGCAACCAUAUGUUUAAUAUAUAUAGGGCAUAUGUCUUUCGUGUGUUAAAUAUGUGCAUUUCAGUCGAGUUCAUGAGUUUGUUUAUUUAUUGUUUAACUCCAUUGGUAAAACAAACUCAAAGACCUGCGUUGGUCAAACCAAAAUUUUGAACUAUUAAAGAUAGUUAACUCAUUGUCAAUCAACUCUCAACGACCAAAACUCAUGAUCUUUUAUUUUUUUUCCUUAUCAGCAUGAUGCCGCCCCGUAGAUCUACACGCCGUGUCAACAACGCACCACCUCCACCACCACCUCCCCCGACAGAAAAUGCCGCUUUGAUAGCUGUUGUAACAGCUGCAGUAACAACGGCAAUGGCCCAAAUGAGUAACAACGGUUCUGGUGGGGGAGUAAAUAGUUCUACGAAUGGCCAACGUCAAGGUCGUUCGGGGGAUUGUACAUAUAAGGAUUUCAUGAAUAGCAGACCCGUUACUUUUAAUGGGACUGGAGGGAUAAUGGCUCUAUCACAAUGGAUAGAGAAAACUGAAGCAGUCUUCGAGAUUUGUUCUUGUCCAGAAGGGAGCAAAGUGAAGUUCGCUUCCUGUACCUUCUUUGAGAGAGCUCUGACAUGGUGGAAUGGCCAUGUCAAUUCACUAACACUAGUAGUAGCUAACUCUAUGGGCUAGGAGAAUCUAAAACAAAUAUUACUACAAGAUGACUGUCCAAGUGGCGAAUUACGAAAACUCGAAUAGGAACUUUGGGGCCUUACUAUGGUAGGCUCGGACAUCACGACCUAUACCAAUAGGUAUAGUGAUUUGGCAAUCCUUUGCCCAGGAAUGCUUGCUCUAGAGAGCAAGAAAAUCGAAAGAUACAUCUGGGGACUGUCACCCCAAAUUCGAGGAAGUGUUCUAGCUUCCAAACCAAUCACCUUCGAUAGCGCCAAACAGUUGGCACAAGCUCUCGUGGACCAUGGGGUCUGCCAAAACUUCGCAACCACCGCACCGGAGCAACCCAAAAUAAGCAACAAUAACAACGAUAAUACCAACAACAACAACAACAACAAGAGGUUCUGGAGCAAAAGGAAGAGUCAACCUUCACAAGAACCUUCCAAGAAACAACAAAUUGUGGCAGUCCAUGCCGCUACUGCCCCCACUACUGCUCGUGUUACCUCCACCCCAGUAAAGCGAUAUGAUGGGAACUUCCCGAAGUACAGCAAGUGCAAUUUCCACCAUAAUGGAAAUUAUCGGGAGAUGCACUGCAACAACUGCAACCAAAAGGGGCACACUGCUCAUUUUUGCAGGGCACCGACACGACCAAUCACCCAAGUCCCUGGGGUCGGUGUGGGCCAGACGUGUUAUGGUUGUGGUGAGGCUGGACACUACAAGAGGGACUGUCCUAAGGCAAGGAACGCUGGCGGCACAGGACGAGUGUUGGCAAUAGGGCAGAACGAAGCGAUAGCUGAUCCCAUGGUGGUUACGGGUACGUUUCUCCUCAAUAACGUUUAUGCAUGCAUACUCUUUGAUUGUGGUGCGGGGAGGAGUUUCGUGAGUCAUAAAUUCAAGCACGUACUAAAACAGAACCCUAAAACACUCAAUAAGAUAUUUACAGUAGAAAUGGCAAACGGUAGAACAGAAAGCACGAACAAUAUGUACAUAGGCUGCACACUAACUCUAGACGAACACUCAUUUCAAAUCGAUCUAAUGCCGAUCACUAUAAAGAGCUUUGAUGUCAUCAUCGGUAUGGAUUGGUUAAGCCUACACUAUGCCGAUAUACUUUGUCACGAAAGGGCCGUUCGCCUAAAUCUGCCAAACGGCGAAACUCUUGUUAUUUAUGGUGACAAACCCAGUACCAAUUUACAAAUCAUAUCUUGCGUCAAAGCCCAGAAAUACCUACGUAAAGAGUACCAUGCCUUCUUAGCCCACGUGGUAGAUAAGGAAAAAGAAACGAAAGGCAUCAAAGACAUUCCAGAAGUCUGCGAUUUUCCCGAUGUCUUUCCUGAAGAUCUUCCCGGAGUUCCACCAAAACGUCAAGUCGAGUUCAGGAUCGACUUAAUUCCCCGAGCUACACCAGUAGCCAAGUCGCCAUACCGUCUAGCACCGGCAGAGAUGCAAGAACUAUCCAGCCAACUAAACGAACUACUCAACAAAGGGUUCAUCAGGCCGAUCUUCUCACCCUGGGGAGCACCAGUCUUGUUCGUAAACAAGAAGGAUGGAUCUUUCCGCAUGUGCAUCAAUUAUCGGGAACUCAACAAGCUCACUAUCAAGAACCGAUAUCCCUUGCCACACAUUGACGACUUAUUCGACCAACUCCAAGGAGCGAGUUAUUUCUCAAAGAUCGACUUAAGAUCCGGGUACCACCAACUACGAGUCUUGGAAGGAGAUGUCCCCAAAACAGCUUUUCGAACUCGUUAUGGUCACUACGAGUUUGUAGUGAUGCCCUUUGGAUUAACAAACGCACCGGCAGUGUUCAUGGACUUAAUGAACCGAGUAUGUCAUUCAUUCUUGGACAAGUUUGUGAUCGUAUUCGUCGACGAUAUACUCAUCUAGUCAAAGACUAAAGAGGAUCACAGUCAACACCUCCGACAAGUCUUGGAAACGCUAAGAAAAGAGAAACUAUACGCAAAAUUUUCCAAGUGCGAAUUUUGGAUUCGAAAGGUAGAUUUCCUAGGUCACGUGGUUAGCAAAGACGAAAUACACGUGGACCCUUCCAAAAUCAAAGCAAUCGAGAACUGGUCAGCUCCAAGAACCCCAACAGAAAUUCGACAAUUCUUGGGCCUUGCUGGCUACUACCGAAGGUUCAUACAGAACUUCUCAAAGAUUGCAAAACCACUUACCACCUUGACCCGAAAGGGUGUUACUUUCGAUUGGAAAGAAAAACAAGACGCUGCAUUCCAAACACUGAAGCAAGCUCUAUGCAGCGCACCUAUUUUGUCCUUGCCAGAAGGAACAGAAGACUUCGUGGUCUACUGUGAUGCAUCUAAUCAAGGUCUUGGAUGCGUACUAAUGCAACGAGGUAAGGUCAUCGCUUACUCCUCAAGACAACUCAAGACGCACGAAGUCAACUACACUACCCACGAUCUUGAACUAAGAGCAGUCGUUUUCGCACUAAAGAUCUGGAGACACUAUCUUUAUGGCACAAAAUGCACGAUCUUCACCGAUCAUAAAAGCCUCCAGCACAUUCUAAACCAAAAAGAACUCAACAUGAGGCAGAGACGAUGGGUUGAACUACUUAUCGACUAUGAAUGCGAGAUUCGCUAUCCACCAGGAAAAGCAAAUGUAGUAGCUGAUGCUCUUAGUCGAAAAGAAUACUCAGGCCGCCGAGGGAAAUCCCUAACCNUUAACCAUGACGAUCCAUUCACAUCUGUCCACACAAAUCAAGGAAGCUCAGAGGGAAGCCGUGAAAACAAAGAAUGUGGCAGGUGAAGCCCUAAGAGGAAUGGACAAGAAUCUUGAAGUCAAGGGGGGACGGAGUUCGUUACUUCAUGGAUCGAAUCUGGACACCGAAGUUUGGUGGAUUCAGACACGUGGUCAUGAACGAGGCGCAUAAGACUCGAUACUCCAUGCAUCCAGGUUCGGACAAAAUGUAUCUGUACCUCAAGAAACUGUAUUGGUGGCCGAACAUGAAAGCAGAGAUAGCUACCUAUGUGGGCAAGUGUCUGACUUGCGCCAAAGUCAAGGUAGAAUACCAGAAACCAUCAGGAUUACUACAACAACCCAAAAUACCUGAGUGGAAGUGGGAACGGAUAACCAUGGAUUUCAUAACCAAAUUACCCAAGAAAACAGGUGGACUAGACACCAUCUAGGUAAUUGUCGAUAGGUUAACCAAAUCCGCACACUUCUUACCCAUAAAGGAAACCGAUAAGAUGGAGAAGCUAACUCGAACUUACAUCUGAGAUAUUGUAUGACUGCACGGUGUACCAAUAUCCAUUAUCUUUGACAGAGAUAGUAGGUUCACCUCGCGAUUCUGGCAAUCGUUACAAAGAUCCCUAGGAACAAGGCUCGACAUGAGUACUGCUUACCAUCCACAAACCGACGGUCAAAGUGAGAGGACCAUACAAACCCUAGAAGAUAUGCUAAGAGAUUGUGUAAUCGAUUUUGGCAAAGCAUGGGAUACCCAUUUACCACUAAUUGAAUUUUCGUACAACAAUAGCUAUCACUCUAGCAUUAAAGUUGCUCCAUUCGAAGCCCUCUACGACCGGAAGUGCUGAUCACCACUGUGCUGGACUGAAGUAGGUGACACACAACUACCCAAGGGACAAGUACCCGACAGCACUCUCACUAGCCUAGAAAUCAUAAGAGAGACAACCGAGAAGAUUGUACAAAUUCGGGAACGACUAAAGGCUUUAAGAGACAGACAAAAGAGUUAUGCGGACAAAAGACGGAAGCCCUUGGAAUAUCAGGUCGGGGACCGAGUACUAUUAAAGGUCUCGCCCUGGAAAGGGUUAAUACGUUUCGGAAAGCGGGGGAAACUAAACCCAAGGUAUAUUGGACCAUUUGAGAUCCUCGCAAGGAUCGGCCCGGUAGCCUACAAACUUCGUCUACCGCAGGAACUCAGUAACAUACACCCUACCUUUCAUGUGUCAAACUUGAAGAAGUGUUUGUCCGAUGAGACCCUCGUUGUCCCUUUAGAUGAGAUCGAAAUCAACGAGAGUCUCCACUUUAUAGAAGAACCAAUUGAAAUCAUGGAUAGGGAAAUAAAGAGAACAAAACAAAGUCGCAUCCCCAUCGUGAAGGUUCGCUGGAAUGCAAAGCGAGGACCUGAAUACACCUGGGAACGCGAAGAUCAGAUGAAACAAAAAUACCCACAUCUUUUUCCCUAAUCCAAAAGUGUUUUUGUUACAUUAAAUUUCGGAACGAAAUUCCCUCUAACGGGGGGAUGAUGUGACAACCCGAUAUUUCAACUUUAUGUAAUGACCUAAAAAGUCAAGUAUUGUAGCUACCUUUGAAAUAAUGAAAUUAACUUCGAAAAUGAAAUAUGUAAAAGUCUUUAUAAUAAUAUCUAUUAUGUUAGAUAUUGUGCCAAGGUUUACAGAAAUACUAAGAACACUAAAAUCCGAGUUAUAACGAAGAAGUUAUGACCAUUCUAAGAUUUCCGACAAAACCGGCAACACCGAUUAAACGAAAAACGCAAAGUUUCAAUACAAUAGCAUUUAGCCUUAAGUAUCUAAAUGAAAGUUAUAGAUAACAUUAAACCGUGAGCUUACACAAAAAGAACGUCCAAAUCUGACUUCGUAUGAGGAAGUUAUGAUUUUUCCAAGAUCCGAAUAUAGCAGUAGACAGCUAAAAACUCGAAAUAGAGCCCGAGAGACUUUAGACCAAAAAACCUAACUGAGAAUCGAAGGUCUCAACAAUAGUAGCGCAACGGCAAAAAGUCUGACGAAAACGGACAUCGGAUGAAGAAGUUAUGGAUUUUACACGGACUUUUCGUGUCCCGGCCCGUUAAAAACAAAUAUUAAAAAAUAAAGUCAAAAUUUGCCGAUGAAGUAUAAAUGAGAGUUGUAGAUCAUAUUUUCAGCUACGCGUGCAUAUAAAGAAUGUCGAAAACAGAGCUCGUACGCGAAAGUUAUGGAUUUUACAAGUUCGGGGUCCAAAAUCCGAGGCUGUCAGGCCUCCCCACGACGUUGCACAGUUUUGGCGCGACCCGGCAAACGACUGAGGGCGUCCAAUCAAUGGAAGAGGAUAGAAUUUCUCCCCGCGACGUGGCCAACCGUAGCCACGAUGUGGCACUCAAAAAAACCCCCUAUAAAUAGAACUCUUGGGGUGUCGGGUUUAGGUGCUCCAUUCUUCCCUUUCUCGUGCUGAAACUCUGCGGUUAAGCUCCCGAAGCCCUCCUGAAGCCCCGGUUUUCACACUCAAUUUACAAAGGAAGGUUCUACUCUCCCGAGAUUCCCGAGAUUUCCGAGAUUCCCGAGAAUCCCGAGAAAAUCGACUUUCACAAGCCGAAGUUCUGCUCGAUUUUCAUCUCGCUUUCCCCAAUCAAUCAAGUGAGUUCAUACCCCUAUAAACUACACUUUCAAAUGUUUAUCACUGCUUUUUAUACACUUUUAAGGGGGGGGGAUACAAGUAAACACACGGUUAUUAUCGUGUGUAACAUAAAGAUUCAAUAUAUACUCUUUUCUAUCAAGUGAAUCAUAUGUGGUUCAUAACUACUACAUGGGAACUUUUGCAUGAAAUAUAUAUUCACGAUAACAUCUUGACUUUUUGAAAUAAAACAUGUUUAUAUAUAUAUNUUUAAGUAUAUGUGAUCAUUUAUGUCACUUUAGAUGUUAUACUUUACAUAACAAGUGAGCAUUACACUAGGAUUUACUCUACGAAUGAAACACACACUUUGAAUAACUAUAAUAGGUAUAGUUUACGAGGAAAUCAUGAACAUUUACAUACUAGAAAUACUAUAUCAAAGAGAUACUUUCACAUUCAGGAACAAACGGACAUUUUCAUACGUAAAUCUGUUUACUUUCACAUUCAGGAACAAACGGACAUUUUCAUACGUAAAUCUGUUUUAUACUAAGUUUUGUGAGACAUUUCACGUACCUUCGAGUAUGCAUUUUAAGUCCUGUAUUAUAUACCAUAAUCCCUUGUAGGGGGAGCGUGAUACUUGUGUAUAGAUCUAUACGGGAUUGACAAUACCGCACCUGAGCUGUUAGCUACAGCUAGGCCGGCAAGCCUGGGGUGACAAAUGUCAUAACAUAUCAACGCCUGAAGAACGUUGUUACAGGCAGUCUAGGUCAUUAGUAUGGUUAUAAAACUCACAUAGAGUAUUAACAACUUAUUGAUUUACCGGGUUAUCAAGUGCCUUAGUGCUUUUAUACUUACAAAAAUUUACUACUCUAGGCAUGAAAAACACGAUUGCAUUUUAGUGUUGGAACUUUUAAACCACCACACACUUAUGAACGGAUAUUGGAUUUAUAAAAAGAAAACCUUCAAAACAAUCGAGUCUUUGUAGAAGAAUACUUUUAUGCUAUUAGGAAAUAUUGGAUUUCCUAGGAGUCUUUCGAAACAUUUGCAAACAAAUAUCAUUUGAUUUUAUUCAAACAUUGUCACUAAAUACUUAUGAACACACCAGCUUAAAUGCUGACCUGCUCUUUCAAAACUACUUGUAUUUCUCAGGGAUUCGGUAAUACAGGUAAACUACUGCUUUUGAAGAAGGGACGCUGCGGCGUUAGUUUAAUUUCAUUUUGGCAACAUAUUGUAAUUGAUAUUUUGGAACCUGUAAUACCUACAAACGAUGUAACCUUUUCAAUUAUAUAUAUGUUGGUUGUGUUUGCUUUCUUUACUAUCUAUUCAACUGUUUCGAUACUACAUGAAGUCAACCGCCCUCGAACAAUUCCGCCGUUCUGGUUUGGGGUGUGACAGCGAGUCCAUUCAGACUCUUUUCUCAUUCAAACGAUUUCAAGGUAGGAACCCUUCCCAAACUCUAGAUAUAAACUCUUGAGGCUUGUUUAUCACGUAAAGCCAUGAGCUUUACAUCCAUGCAUGGCACUUAAGGCUUGAUAUGCCAAAAACAUACUCUAUUAAGGGUUUUUCACUCAAGAGCCUUAUUAUGGUUGAAUAAAGCAGUAACUUUUGGACUCUAGGGACCUCACAUGGUCCAGAUGUGAAGUCCAAACCUCUAUAUGAACUCAAAACACUCAAAGUCCUCAUAUUAGAUGGAAAAAGCCCUAAACUCCCAAAAUCAUGAGAUCUAAUCAAUAAAAUGAGAAAGGUGUGAGCUUUAUACCUUUCCCAGAAGCUCUAACCAUGGAUCUAACAGCUCCUUCUCGUCCCUUGUCUUGGAAUCCUUUCCUUCUAUUCAAAAUAUGCACCAAACACUCAAAGUUAGCUCAAAUACUCUCUCUUAGCUCAAUGGCUGAUUAGGGUUUUCUCUCAGUGAAGGUAAACAUAUGGUGAGCCGUAAAUGAGUAUAUAAAUGCCCUUAAAUAGGGCCUAAACUCGGGGAUUUAUGGUUUCUCUUCACAGCUUCUACUCGGCGAGUUGGCUCUCGGAGUCUUCGAGUAGAUCAUUAAUCUACGUGGCACAUCUCGAACCUACUCAACGAGUUAUAGCACCAACUCGCCGAGUCACUCAAUAUUCCUCAAAGCAUAAAUAAACAUAAUACCUGGAAGCACGGGUGUUACAGUACAAGUCUUUAAUCCCAAAAUAAACACACACUUAAGAGAAUAAACACACACAACCACCUUGUAUUUUUCGGUGGUGGUAGAUAGUGGCAGCCACCACUUCAAGGUGGUGGUGGUGGCCUUUUGUUGGCUUUCCAACCAAACAGAACACACACCCACCCUAUGGCUUGCGAAUUGUGUUGGAUUAAAUGUCUAAGUCCAUAAUUAUUAUUGGUAUGUACUCGACCCGAGAGUAGCAUGGUCCAUUUGGGUUGCAUGGCAUCAGUACAAUUGGAUAGACUAAAUGAGAAAAAGGAUACUUACGAUUUAUAUUAAUAUAAUAUAAGUUCUAAUAUAUUAAUAUGAAAUCAUAUUAUUUAAUUAGUAUUGAUCAAGAAUUAAUUUAUUAAUAAAAAGGAACUAAUUAAAUACAAACUCUUAUAUAUAUACACACACACACACACACACACAUAUAUAUAUAUAUAUANNNNNNNUAUAUAUAUAUAUAUAUAUAUAUAUAUGUGUGUGUGUAUAUAUAUAUAUAUAUAUAUAUAUAUAUAUAUAUAUAUAGGAUGGGCCAAGUUCAUUUAGGUUGCGCUAAGCUUGCAUGGAUAGUCCAUGGAGUUUUUAAUCCAUGGAUCCUAUGGAAAUGAAAGGUUAUGAGUAUUAGGGUUUACAUGAAUAUAACCCUAAUCCUCUACACUAUAUAGAGAGGUCUAUGGUUCAUGGGGGCUAAGGAACUAGUGUGUGUGUGUACACAAGAGGGCAAACCGAUUUUGGUGCUAUUAUCCUUAUUCUCAAGUUAUUCCAAGUUGUUUUUGGUGUUGUGUGAUUCCAUUUAAGGUGCAACACUUGGGGCACUAAGCUCUUAAAGGUUCAAGACUUCAAGCUUCAUCAAAAGGUAUGUUAUCUAACUAGGCUUUUGUAGUAUAGUUGCUUCAUGUUAUGCUAGUUAGGUUUGAAACCUUGGAAUAUUAAGUAUUUGCAUGUGUAAUAGAGAAAACAUAGAUCCAAGGUUUAUAGGGUUUCAUGUACACCUUAGGAGUGUUAGAAUGUUCAAAACCCAUCAGUGGUAUUAGAGCCUACGCUUGUUUUCAUUUAUACUUGAUGCAAUUGUUGAAAAUAGAAGUUUAUAUGUUGUCUGGACAGCUGACUCGCUGAGUCCAAUAAGGGACUUGACGAGUCCAUCUGUAAAAUCAUCCAAUUCGUCGAGUUGGUUCAUGCACUCGACGAGUUGGACCCCCUGACAGCAUAUAUUUGAUUUUUUUGGCUGGAAUUGGACUAGGAACAUUAUCCUAAGCUGUUUUUGAACUUGUAAACCUGUUUUUGAUGUGGUAAUGUCCAUGUUAAUCCAAUUUCAAAGAUACUUGUCAAUAGAUUCAUGUUUUGUAUCAGUUUAAUGGUUAGGCUAAUUUCAUGAAAAUUGUUUGAUUUGAAUUAUCUUGUUCUUAUUAGUUAAUUUAGAUUAAUAGAAAAAUUAUAUGAUAAUGUGUUUUCAAUCCAAAUUGAUCUAAAAGUUGUUCAUAAAAUGUAUUUUUGUAACUUGUCGUCAAGUUAUAUGAAAAGUCACAUUUAUGAUUGUUACAACUCAUAGGAUUUCCAUAAGUUAUAAAAAAUGAAGAAUCUCAUUUUUAAAUGCUUUAAAGUCUUCCAUAACUUGUCCUCAAGUUAUGGAACUUGAAGAGUUUUUCAUUAAAACUACUUUAAACUCAUAAGUUAUGGAAUUGAAAAACGUUUUUGAAUAGUUCAAAACUUGCCCUCAAGUUUUGGAAUUUGUAAAGUUUCCCCUCAUAAAUACUUUAAUUCCAAGUUAAACUCUUAGAAUUUUAAAAGUUAAAAUUCAACCUUUAUACUAUUAUAAUAUUAAUAGUUAAUAGUUAUAUAUAUAUAUAUAUAUAUAUAUAUAUAUAUAUAUAUAUAUAUAUNUUAUACUAUUAUAAUAUUAUGGGUUUAAUAUAUAUAUAUAUAUAUAUAUGUAUGUAUGUAUGUAUGUAUAAGAACAAAGUCAGUUUUAUCGUUAGUGGGCCUCAUUCACGAAGCCGGUCUAUAAGGGGGGUAUAAGGUUACUGCCCAUAAAAUGGCAAUUUAAUGGGUAUCCACUCUCACCCACCGCUUCCUUGACUGGUUGAGGGUCGUUAGCCAAACAGGUAGGACAAGACUCUAAUUCUCCAUUCAUUAAAAGUAUAAUGAUAAAUAUCCAGUAACUAAACACUUAUAAAUUCUCAAUCUUAGUUACUUAGGAAAAUGUGAAUUUGGUGCUAACCCAUUAAAUUACACUUUGCACCUUGCUUAAGUCGUUAGUGGAGCAUGUAUGAUUAACCGGCACACUAACUUGAAUUUAACAAGGUUGGCAAAGGGUGGCUUAAGGUUUAUCAUAGAUCGGCGGAGCACGUGUGGUUAACCAACACAUCGAUUAGGUGAUAAAUAUUAAGGGUACCAAGUAUAUUUGCAUGGUUAUUCACACCUUGUUUGCGAUCCUCGGCAUCCCAGUCACAAACUUGAGAGGGCACAAUCGAGAUUUAAACAUGCCAUUGAAAAGUUAAAUGAAUCUCAAAAGAUCUAGGGGUUUCAAACCAAUUAAAACCUAAUUCCUAUUUCGUUUUUCAUGGUGGAAAUUGGUGAAUCGUCAUUCGCCUACCUUAAAAUAUUUUAUAGCUUGGAUUACGGCAUCCCUCUUCCAAGUUAUAAAAUAUUGUGUUGGGUCCUAGCCUUAAUAUUUCAUAUUGGGUGUUAUAUUAAGGACUUUAAACCAACUAACUUGAAUUUCUCCCAUUGUAGAUGUCUGGUUCAGACAGCUAUGACCUUUCCAAAUCUCUUGAAACAAGCUUUCCUAAUGAAGAUGAUAUCCCGUGAUUGAAUCAUGGAAAUCAUACUUCUUUUCCUCCACCUCCUCCAAUUAUUCUCCCAGACCCACAAGCUCGAAGACUUGAAAAGUUUCAAGAUCACUUAAGCCCUACUUGCAAUAAAACAUGAAUAUGGAAGGCUUGUGUGUUCUCACGUCUUAGAGAUGAGGUCACAUAUUGAUAGGCUGAGAGUGUUGGGUGUAGAUGUCCCACUGAAUUUAGCUGUUGACUGGGUUCUUUAGUCACUUCCUGAGUCAUAUAGUGAGUUCAUUAAAGACUACUAUGUGACAGAUCACGACAUAACCUUAAUAGAUCUUUCUUAUUUGCUUGUUGCUGCUGAAUCAACAAUGAUUUAGCGCAAUGGUCAAGAAAAUUUGAUUGGAAGGUCUGCCUCUCAAGGUAACAUUGGAAGUCUGGAAAAGUUUUCUCUUCCCAGUGGAAAUGGAUUGGCCAUGGUCAACCCGGUUGACCAAAUGGUAAAGAGAAAGGCUAAGUCUGUGACAGUCCCAUGCACCAUCCCCAAAGAGCCUAUAUAUCUUCACUAUCAAGAGAAGGGACAUUGGAAGCGAAGGUACCGAACUACCUGAAAGAUUCUUAAUACAUGAUGUGACUAAGUUUCAUUUUGAUGUUUUGUAGGAUCAAGAAAAGAGAAGGAAAUUUAAAGGAAGAGUAUGUUGAAUCUGAUUGCAAAGAUGGAUUUCAAUCGCAUGGUUCGAAGAUCGGAUUUUUGAGCUAAUACUUAGGAGUUAUGAUAGAUUGCUAGGAAAUAUGUAAUAGCAUAGUUUUCAUUUAAAGUUGCAUUGUAAGGGAAAACGUUUUUUUUUCCGCAUUUUAUAAAUAAAUAAUUUUUUUUUUACUUUAUUUUGUAUCUCAUUGCAAUGGCAUUUAUGGAAAAUUGAUGUUUGUAUUUUUCUAGCAAUAUUGGAAAUAUGAAUUUGAUUCUUUCAUUUGUGGUAGUGUCUAAAUUUAACAAAUAAAGGAAAUAUUCUCAUCACCCUAAUUUCAAUUGGACCGAAACUUGAAAUCAUGCAAGUUAUAUUGUAUGAUGAAUGAAAAUUUUCAUCUUUGUAAAAUUAAGACUAAUUCCUUGUUCACAUGUAUAUGUGAGUCAAGUGAAGGAAUAAGGGAUCGAGUACACAUUCUUCUGCACUGGUCAAAGUCCACCACAAAAGAUUGAUAAGACUAUUCGUCAUGAUUUACUAAAGUUUAAUAGAUAUGGUUAUACUUACAAGCUUAAGUAUAAUUCUGAAACAAUAGAAAAGUUCCAAUAUAUGGCAGAACGAAUGAGAAGAAUCAAAUUAGGCAGAAAGAUAAAAGUUUCUCGAAUCUGAAAAGAUGGGAGAGUACUUUAGUAUCAUGUUUUAUGAUCAUCUUAAUCAUUAUGAGACCAUAUCACAAUUCAUCCUCUAAGGAAAUCUUAGUGCAUUCUUAUAGCUAAAAAUGGGAGUCGUGAAUUUUUGAAGUGGUUAAAUCAAGAAGAUGAGUCAUACUUCGUUACAAAACAAGUCUCAGAGUCAUACUCCAAGAUUGUAACUUGAGUGACACAUCUUAAAGAAGGUUUAUAACACUUGUAAAAUGUGUUCUACUCUUGUACAUUUGAAAUUGGUAAGCUGUGAUGUUUUGGAUAAAACAAAGACCAGCUAAUUCCAAAUUGUGUGAAGUGUUUGUCCUGAUAAGAAUCCGCACUAUCUCUUGAAUAUUUCUUUGCCAUGGAAUGGUACUUGGCAAGUGAGUCUUAUAUGUCAAGAUUGAUGGGUUAUGAGCAUUCUAACACCCCUAAGUGUACAUGCAACCCUAGAAAAACCAUGGAUCUAUGUUUGUCUAAACACAUGCAAAAUAUGAUUUCCAAGGUUCAUAAUCCUAUCUAGCAUACAUGGGGAACUUUUAAUCUAAAAGAUGGCUAGAAUUACAUACCUUGUAGUUUAUUUGAUUCCUUGAAAACCUUGAGAGCCUAGCACCCCAAGUGCGAUGCCUCAAAUGCUUCACACAACACCAAAUGCUUUGGAAUGACUUUGAGAGAAUACAAGCACUUGUAAAAAUCGGCCUAGCCUUCUUGUAACUUCAUGUAACCGAUUUUGGUGAGUAUCAAGUUCCUUAUAUAGUGUGUCACAUCUAGUGUUACACCAUGUAAACCCUAAUGUGACAUGACUCUUCAUUUCCAUGACCCAUGGGUUUGUAACUCCCAUGGAGCAUCCUAUGGGUUUAACCCAACUUGAUAAUCCAUGGAACCUUUUAGCCCACUAUACAAGUUAUGGAUGAUUUACAUAAUCAACCCUUAUAUUUAAUUAGUUAUCUUUUGAUCUUUUAAUUAAUUCCAAAUUAAUUCUUGAUCAAUACUAAUUAAAUAAUACUAUUAAUAUAUUAGAACUUAUAAUAUAUUAAUAAACCAUAAGUGUUAUUUCUCUCAUUUAGUCUAUCCAAAUGCAUGAUGCCAUGCAACCCAAAUGGACCAUGUCGGGUCGGCUCAAGUACAUACCAAAUAUAGUUAUGGACUUAGACACCUUAUGCAACAGUCUCCCACUUGGAUAAGUCUAAUAACUAUAUCUGCAUGUAUGACUUUAGGAACCGAUCAGCAAUCGUAGCUCUUUCGUGGUCUCUCGGAACUGAGAAGAUGAUGAUGCGCCAUUUAAGAUAAGUGAUCAUAUAAUCCUAUGUUCUAGAUAUCAGCUGGACAAAUACAUGGAUCAAUGUCUUUCCAAUUUGUUUGACAUAGAAUAUAACUGAACACAUCAACUUAGUUCUGACCAGUCCCAGUACGUAGGUCAAAACAAAAUCAUCGAGGGGCCCAGAUAUCGCUUCUAAUCCAAGAAGGAACAGAUAAACUUCGACUCAUAUGCUUAUUCAACUACUUGUUGAAUCACACACAACAGUACGUUUUAUAACAUCGAGUUACCAGUGCGGUUUUGUACGAUCAAUGCAUAACCAACUCAUAGGCAACAAGUCAUAUCUCUUGGUUUGAAGACUUAUAUGAUAUUAUCAUCUCACGAUCACUCGAGAUAAGUUCCAUGAAGUGAUACCAGUAAGCAUGGGUUGAGUCCAAUGCUCAGAACCUAUGAGCACUCAUGAAUGUUGUAGCCAUGUCCAACAACUUAGACCUCUACAAUCAACUCAUGAUAGUCUUGAUUCAUACCUACUUCCAACAUAUGACCGACUGUGGAGAUUCGAAUAAUAUUGUAUACCAAACAUAAUUAUUCUGGAAGUCAAAACAUGCAAAGAAAUAUAGUAAACGAUUGACAAAAGAUAGCAACACUUUACUCAUAAAUAAACACAACUUUUAUUCAUCAUCAAAUGUCAAUUACACUUUAAAAUUUUCAAAAUUAUCUAACUACUAAAACUACUAUCAUCCUUCAGCCCUAUGCUCCGAGCAUGCUGGAGAUGCUUAACCCGACUCAGUCCCUUCGUGAGGGGAUUUGUUGGGUUCUCAUCCGAUGAUACCUUCUUUGCCAAGAGGAGUCCUUCUUCUAUUCGAUGUCUAAUGAAAUGGUAUUUUCUGUCGAUGUGUCUGGAUCUCUAGUGAUCCCUUGGUUCCUUGGCUAAGGCAACUGCACUUUCACUAUCACAGAAAAUUUCCAUUGGCUCCUUUAUAGCUGGUACAACUCCAAGGUCUCCAAUGAAGUUCUUCAUCCAUAUCGCCUCCUUUGCUGCCUCGCUUGCUGCUAUAUACUCUGACUCUCAAGUUGAAUCAACCACUGUCUCCUACUUGGAACUCUUCCAAGUAAUUUCUCCUUCGUUUAAGGUAAAGACCCAACCUGACUGAGAGCGGAAUUAUCCCUAUUAGUCUGAAAGCUAGCAUAACUAUACCCUACAACUCUCAAGUCAUCACUCCCACCGAGGGUAAGAACCCAGUCCUUAGUCCUCUGCAGGUACUUGAGGAUAUUCUUUACCGCAGUCCAGUGAUCCUUGCCAGGGUUCCCCUAAUAUCUGCUAACCAUUCUUAAGGAAAAGGCUACAUCAGGACGAGUACAAUUCAUAGCAUACAUGAUCAAGCCUACUACCAAAGCAUAUGGUAAUCGAAUCAUUUCUACUAUCUUAGCCUCAGUACUCAGGCUCUAAGUUUUACUCAGUCAGGCGUUACACUGGAUAUGUAACUCUCCUUUCUUGGAGCCCUACUUGCUGAACCUCUUCAGCACGUUAUCCAAGUAUAUACUCUAACUAAGUCCAAUUAGUCGUUCACUCCGAUCUCUCGGAAUCCUUAUCCCGAGAAUAUAGGAAGCUUCUCCUAGGUCUUUCAUAGAGAACCACUUCCCAAGCCAGGACUUCACUUCCUGCAAGGUUGGGAUGUCAUUUCCUAUGAGUAUUAUGUCAUCCACAUACAGUACCAAAAAGCUAACUAUACUCCCACUAGCCUUGACAUAGACACAAGAUUCAUCUUCACUCCUUGAAAAGCGAAAUUCUUUGACUUUCUCAUCAAAGCAAAGAUUCCAUCUCUGAGGUGCCUGUUUCAAUCUAUAAAUGGAUUUCUCUAGAUUACACACUCUAUUAGGGUAUUAUGUACCGACAAAACCCUCUAGCUGACUCUUGUAAACAUCCUCAGCCAAACUUCCAUUAAGGAAGGAAGUUUUGACAUCCAUUUACCAUAUUUCAUAAUCAUGAAAUGAAGUAAUGGCUAACAGAAAUCUAAUGGACUUAAUCUUUGCUACUGGUGAAAAGGUCUCAUCAUAAUCAACUCCUGGAGUUUGAGAAAAGCCCUUUGCAACCAGUCCUGCCUUAUAAGUGUGUACAUUACCAUCCAUGUCAGUCUUCUUCUUGAAGAUCCAUUUUCACCCAACUGUAUUACGACCUGGUACAUUCUCAACCAAGUUCCAAACUUGAUUGUCAUACAUGGAUUGUAUCUCGUUGUCCAUUGCCUCUUUCCAAUUGGCAGACUCGGGGCCUGCCAUGGCUUCCACGUAGCUGUUAGGUUCAUCCAGACUUACCAAUGUCUCAUCACUGAUAAGUGUCUCACCUUCAAUUCCGCAGUAAUAUGGAAACCAUAAUAAUGCUCAGGUGCAUUCUUAAAUCUUAACCCUUGUGGAACGCCUCAGAGGUAUAGACUUGUCAAUUGGCUCAACAGGAGUUUCCUCCUCAGGUUGAGUGUUAGGGUUAGAAGUUCCUUCACCACUUGACUCUUGAAUUUCUUCAAGGUCAAUUUGCCUCCCACCGUUUCCUUGGGUUAUGAACUCUCACUCUCGAAAGACACCCCUCCUUGCUACAAAUACCACAUUGUCACUAGGUCUGUAGAAGAGGUAACCAAAGGAUUUAUGUGGGUAGCCGAUGAAAAUACACCUCUCACUUUGAGGUUCGAGCUUAUCAUGAGUCUCACGUCUCAUGAAAGCCUCGCAACCCCAAAGCUUGAUGUGGUCUAGUUUGGGAACUUUACCAAUCCACAUCUCAUGAGGAGUUUUGGCAACUUUCUUUGUAGGGACCAGAUUCAGGAUAUAGGCGGCAGUCUAUAAGGCAUACCCCCAAAAUGAAAUUGGUAGCGAAGCUCGACUCAUCAUGGAACGAACCAUAUCCAACAAGGUUCGAUUACGCCUCUCAGCCACACCAUUAAGAUGUGGUGUCCUGGGAGGUGUCAAUUAUGAGAUAAUCCCACAUUCCAUAAGAUAGUUGAGGAACUCUAUACUAAGAUACUCACCACCACAAUCGGAUCGAAGCAUCUUAAUGUUCCUGCCCACUUGAUUCUCGACUUCCUGUUUAAACUCUUUAAACCUUUCAAAAGUCUCUGACUUAUGCUUGUUUAAAUAGACAUAUCCAUAUCUACUAUAAUGAUCAGUAAAAGUCAAAUAAUAACGAUUAGCAUCCCUUGUGGCAGAUUUGAAGGGUCCACACACAUCCGUUUGCACUAGAUCCCUCAAACCUUCACCCCUUGCACAAGAACUAGUGAAGGAUGACUUUGUCAUUUUUCCAAGUAAGCAUGAUUCACAACUAUCAUCUAACUUUAGGUCAAAUGACUCCAAGACUCCAUCCUAUUAGAGUUGGCCUAUGUGUUUCUUGCUCACAUGUCCAAGACGACAAUGCCAUAAAUAUGCUUUAUCCAAGUUAUUAUUAAUCAAAGAAUCAAUACACAACACAUUAUUUCCUAGAUUAUCUACAACAAAUACAGCUUCAUACACACCAUCACAAGGUAAUGCUUUAAAAUAAAGAACAUUAUUAAAGAAAGCAUUUAUUCCACCAUUUUCAUUAUCAAAAGAAAAGGUAAACCCUUGUUUGUACAAAGCAUGAAAGGAAAUAAUAUUUCUUGCCAUUUCUGGCAAAUAACAACAUUUAUUCAAAUCUAAAGUAAACCCACUACUUAGCAACAAAGAAUAAACUCCAAUCUUGGUGAUAGGUGAAGCUUUCCUAUUCCCCAUGAUCAAGUUUAUCUUUCCAUGCUCCACAUUCUCACUUCUUCUUAGUCCCUGCAAAUCAGAACAGAUAUGAAUAUCACAACCUGUAUCAAGGACCCAAGAGUUAGAAUAAGGUGAGUUAUUAGAUAGAAUAGUGUAAAUACCUGCAUGGAUGGUUUUAACUUUCCCAUCCUUCACAUCUUGCUGGUACAUUGGGAAGUUCCGCUUCGAAUGCGACUUUUCAUGGCAAUAGAAGCAUUUAACCUCUUUUGCGUCAGAAGAAGGAGUGAUGAAACCUUUCUUGGUUCCACUUGAAGAAGAGCUAUCAAGGUUCCUAUCCUUGGUACCCUUCUAAGAGCUCUUCCUCUUCUUCCCUCUACCUUUCCCGAUUGCCAAGACAGGGGCGGAGUUUAGAGUAGGAGUAGGAGUGUUAACAACCGACUUACCUUUAAGACAAGUUUAUGUGGUCUUUAAGAGUCCUUGAACUUUGUUGAGUGUGACUUCUUCCUUAUUCAUGUGAUAUGUCAUGCAGAAUUGAUCAUAACAUGAGGGUAACGAGUGCAAAAUGAUAUCUAUUGCAAGCUCCUCGGGGAAGUUCACAUUAAGCUUCAGCAAACGGUCCACAUACCUUUGCAUUUUCUGCAUGUGGCCCGUGACGCAAUCUCCGUCCUUCAUCCUGGUUGUUAUCAUGGAGGAGAUUAUUUCAUACAUCUCUUGACGAGCACUCUUAUGGUAUCUUUCCAUCAUAUCUUGGUGCAUCUUAAAAGGGUAGUAGUCCUCAUAGGACUUCUGGAGUUCAGCUGUCAUGGUGGCCAUCAUGAUGCAUGCCACUUUGGUGGCAUCUCUUUCAUGAGUUCGAAAGUUAGCGAUCUCCUGAGGAGCAGCAGUGGACUCAUCGAUCUCCUUUAGCUCCUUAUCGAGGACAUAUUCCUUGUCUGUCACACCCCCAAACCAAGGAUGGCGGAAACGUCCGGGGGUGGAGGACUUCAUGUAUAGUAUCACAACAACGGGUAUAAUAGUGCUCAAAGUACAAACAACCAACAUAAAUAUAAUUAAAAAAGUUACAUCAUAGUAAAAUUUAACAUGUUUCUAAAUCAAUUACAUUAUGUUGACAAAAAUAAAAUGUUUGACGACUUAGCGUUCCAUCCUCAAAAGUCGUUGUUUACCUGAUUCACGGAUUCCCUGAGAAUAAAAGUAGUUUUGAAAAAAAAAUGUCAACAAUUAAGUUGGUGAGUUCAUAAGCUUUUAGAAUGAAACGUUGAAAUCCUUUCUUGUAAAAGUAGUGUAUGUUCCAGAAAAUCCCAUAUUUUCUCUCUAAAAUGUAUUGUAGUCUAAAAUGCCAAGACUAAUAGUAUGUUAGUAUUUUUCCAUUUAAAAUUUGAAUUAUGCAAGUUUAAAUCGGCAUAAACUUGUUAUUUUAAAUGGAAAUCCCAUAAAUAUUAUGUUUGUUAAUACGCUAUGUGAGUUACUAUAACCAUACUAUAACUUAGUUGGCCUUGUAUACGACGUUCUUCAGGAAUCGGAAUGUUAAUGACAUUUGUCACCCCAGACCUAUCGGUCUAGCUGUUGCAUGCAGCUAAGGUGUGGGUUUGUCAAACCCAAUAUAGAUCUAUACACGACUAUCACAUUCUCCCUACGAGAGAUUCUGGUUAUAAUUAAAGGACUAUUGUUGCGCUACUUGGAAGUAACGCGAAGCGAAUGUCUCACAAAUUAAUUCAUUAACAAAUUUACGUAGUGUGUUAAUGAAAACCCGUUUUGUUGAAAUGUAUUCUUUUGUAUUGUAUACGUAACAUAAACUAUACCUACUAUAGUUUAUCCAAAUGUUUGUAGAGUGUAGUAUUCACUUUCUAUGCAAGUAAAAGGUAUAUAGCAAAACGAUUCUAUGUUUACCAUGCUUCAUAAUGCAUUAAUUGUAAUCAUAAGAAAUUCUUACAAUUUGGUGAAUGUUUUUCUAUAUAAUAAAUAUGUCCAAACAGAAAACUCAUGCAAAAUAUGAAGACAUCAAGGUUUUACACUUUUCUCAACAUGUUACAAAGUGUUAAUAAAGUUGUAAUCUGUAAAUUUUGUUUUUACCAUUUCUGCACUGAUUUAGAACGAUCGAAAACAAGAUCCAUAAACUCUGAGAAUUUAGAAAAUGUGUCUAGUUUGUUCAUCAAUUUUAUUAUGAUUUUUAGAAGUCCCUAACUGGUGUGAAAAUGUUCAUAUUCACAGACUAUUCCAAAUUUAUAGCUACAGUGAUAGGCAGUUUUGUAAAAAUCACUAUAAAUUGUAGAAAAAUCAUAUGGACAUGUGCAAGUAGUAAUUUUAAAGUUAUAAACCUAAAGUAUUUGCACCUAAUACAGUUUUGAAUACUAAAAAGUUUAAGGUGUUCAAAACAGCUCGUAUAAUGAACAUUAAGUUUUCUGUUGAAAGUUGUUGUCUGAGUUUAGUUAUGUUGUUGGUGUUUUAACUUGUAUCCCCCCCCCCCCCCCCACCUUUAAAANNNNNNNNNNNNNNNNNNNNNNNUCCCCCUCAACCUUGAAGAAAACAUGAAAAUGUGAGGGUAUGAACUCACCUUGAGUGAUUUCAGUAGAUGGAUGAUGAAGAAAAGAAGUGUUCAACUCAAGAACACUUAGAAGAUUGCUUGAAGAUUCAAAGAUCUAGCACAAUUAUGAUGAUGUUGGUGUAAGAUAUCCAUGAUUUAAGUAGAAAGAAAAGAGGAAUAAUCAUGUGAGGAGUGAUAUUACUUACUAGGAGUAGAUGAAGAACUUGGAAAUUUCCCUUGAAUCUCGAGAUUAGUGGGAGAGAGUGAGAGAGAGAAUGAGUUUUUGGCUUCUUGGUGCAGAAUGAGUUUAAUGGGAGGAGAGAUGAGAGUUCUCCAGCCUUUGAUCAAGAGUGUGGCUAGAAAAUGGUGGGAAAAGGACAAUGAUUUACUAGGUAUGGUGUAAUAGUGACUAGGAAUGGUCAUGGGGUGAGUAUGGGAGGUAACUUGUGUUCUUGUACAAAGGAUAAGUCAACACUCCACCUAAAUAACUUACCCACCAUAUUUUAUUCUUAAAUAAAGAUUUCCAUAAAAAUGUGUUUAGAUUGUGGAAGUAUGGGGUAUUAUAUGUCAAAAUAUAAGUUUGGGUGAAAAUCCCGCCUUAAAAUCAUGAAAAACGGGCCUAAAACACUAAAAGUAUUGAAAACCGGAUAAAAGUUGCGAAUAUCCAAAGUCUGGGCCGGAGGUUCGGUCCUUGGUGCUUAGAACCGAAAGUAGAUGGGAGCCGAGAGGAGGUUUUGGUCAUUGGAGAAGAACCGAGAGAAGGGUUCGGUCCCUAGGCAGUCUCGCUAGUGGCUUGGGGAGGAACGAAGGCGAAGGUGGGGGAAAGAGGCGAAGGCGAGGCUCGGUUCCGACAUGUUCGGCUCUGACAAGCUCGACUCCGUGGUUUCGCUUCUCGAGAGUUUCGGCUCAGGAAGGAUUUUGAUUCCUUGGGGAGGUUUGGCUCCUAGGAGGGUUCGACACUAAGAGGGUUCGGCUCUAAGAGGCUGAUUUUCGUGAUUUCUUCCCGUUUUGAGUGAUUUUUGACCAAGUUAAAGGUCGGGAUGACUCAGAUGACUAUAAAAAGUUGAGAGAGAUUUGGGAAAGAUUUCACAUACACGGAGAGAUUUGGGAGAGAUUUCACAUACAUGGAGAGAUUUGGGAGAGGUUUCACAUAUUUAGAGAGAUUUGGGAGAAAUUUCAGAUAGAGAGAGGUUUAUAAAGUGAGAUUGAGAGAGACUUCGUUUGUGACCUUUUUGGAUGUUUAGCUUAAUAAUGCAAGGUUCAUACACCCCGUUAAGCUUAGUUAUGAUGGUUUUAUGCCCCUGCGGGGUAUGAAAUAACAUUUUAUCGAAUAGUUUCAUCACUUUCUCCAAUUACGGUUUGAAAUUUCUGAACGAAUGAACUUUCCAAGUGAUAAAUUCUUAUUAAAAUAGUGAGUUGCACUAGAGUAACAUAGCGUAAGCCCUAAUAUACAAGGGUUAUAUGAUCUGACCGGUCUGACCUGUUGACUUUAUUUGACUUUGACUUGAUAAAAAAUUGAUGGUUUUCACAUCGUCCUUGUAACGAGUCACCAUCCUGAUGUUCCGGAUCCAAUCCAUAAAGUUGGAACCAUCGAAGAUGACCCUCCCACAUAGGUUCAUGACGGAAAAGGAGCUAGUAGGGUUUGAGCCAGAAGCAGGGUUGUUGGAAGACAUCUGAAAAGAAGAGAACAAGAUUAGUUUAGAUAUAAAGAGAGUCCUUAAUAAAACACCCAAAUGUAAUAUUAAGGCUAGGAUCCAAUCACAAUAUAUCAUAACUUACAAGAGGUAUGCUGUAAUCUAAGCUAUAUCAUAUUUGAAAGGUAGGUGAAAGACGAUUCACCAAUUUCCACCAAAAAUCAAAAUAUAAAUUAUUAGGUUUUAAUUGGUUCUUAGAAAUUCCUAGAUACUUUUGAGAUUCAAUGUACUUUUCAAAGGCAUGUUUCAAUCUCGAGUGUGCCUGAUAUGUGUAUUUAUAUAUAUAUUUUUAUGCAUUAUAUCUUAAUAUUUUGGCCUUUAUUAUUCUCUUUUAGAACUAAAAAGUACUCAUAAUGCUUUGAAUUAUGAUUUGCAGCUAUUCGUUGUCGAUAAAGCACAAAAGAAAAGACUGAAGUGGAAAUCGGGCUUAGAAGCUAAAAGAAAGGAAAAAUGAUGGAGGAGCCAAUUACGCCCGCGUAAGUUGCAUGUACGCUAAGCGUAAUGACCAAAUUCAAGUUACGCACAGCGUAAUAUUAGAUUACGCCCCGCGUAAUGGCUGGCAUCAGAUAACUUCAAUCGCGUAAUAAUCUUCACUACGCCCAGCGAAUCCGACUUACGCCCAGCGUACGUAAGUCGGUUACAAGGGUUAUAAAAGUCGAUUAUCAGCUAACCAGAAGGGGGGAUUCGACUUCCAACUUAAUUUAGUCAAUAUUAAACUUCUGUUAAGCAGUUUUGAGGGUCUAAAAGGCGGUCGGAAGGCCGUUAAGCUAACGGGAGCGGAGAUCGGAAGGGUUGGAGAGCGGAAUUCCAUUGUGUUACUAUUAUGUAUUUAGUUUCUGAUUUAGGUGUAAAAACCUUUUACUUUGCGUUUACGAUUGAAUGAAACUUUCAUUAUUAGACUAAUUGCUAUAUUGAAUUGUUUGUUUAUGUUUAAUUUAUCUUGCCAAGCUUGUUAGAAGAUCCUUACGUAUUAAUGAUAAUUAUUUGCUGUUAAUUAUUAAGUAAAUUGAGUUGUAUGAACAUCUGCUUGAUUGCUUGUUUCUUAUGAUUUGGAUGACCAUCGAGAUUAUCAGUCUAGGAAUAACGAAUGUGAAACUAGGAUUAACUUGAGAAUAAGUAAGUUAAUGUGUGAGCCUUGUUUGAUGACCAUCAACAAGAGGUUAAUUGAACGACCAAUUUGCUUAACUAUAUUACAAGUCUUGCUUGAUACGAACUGAACAGUAGGAAACAUGUUAGUUUAACCAACUGAUCACUGUUUGAAUUAACUUGUUUGCUAAAGGAUUAGUUAUAGUGAACGCGAAUCUAAUCAUUUUAGGAAUCGGUGAACAUGAAUAAAUGAAUUUGUGUAUGCAAUUGUCUAUGUUUUUAAGGUGUAAUUUAUCUAAACCAAAGUACCUGAAGAGAUUUGCUUUCCUGUUGGUUUAUCGAGAAUUGUUAUUAAUUGUUUGUUUGAGAUUUAUUAAACUAUUUCUUUAUUCUUUUCGUAUGACCUGUAACUAUAAUCAAAUAUUUUAAAUUAAUUCACCACCGUUCCCUGUGAUCGACACCCAACUUACCUAAGCUAUACUGUAAUCUGACUAGGUACACUGCCUAUAACUGCAUAGUUAGUCUAAGUUUGUUAGGUUAUAAAUAUUAAAAUUAGUGGGUACUUUUGCGCACAUCAAGUUUUUGGCGCCGUUGCCGGGGAACGGCUUGUCAGUUAAUUUAGUUUCUUUGAUUAUUUGUUAUUUGUUUUUAGUUAGUUUUUUAUUUUAUUUUUUUUAGUUGAUUUUCGUUGAUAUCAUUUCACUUGUCAGGAAGGUUCUUGUUGUUAUUUGCAGGAAUUUGGGAUUAUACACAUUGCUUGACUGUACCUUUUGCAUGGGUUUCAAGAAUGCAAGCGAUUAGGGAAAUCUUGACCUAGUUAGCCUACUACUUUGUUGAUUUGUCCAACUCAAUCCAUGAGGCGUAGUAUAGCAAGGUGUAUUGUGGUGGUUAAGUGGAAGACCGAGCUCUUGAUGUUCUUGACUANCUGUUGGAUUAGUGUCUAAGUCCAUAACUAUUUUGGUAUGUACUUGACCCGAUGGUGCAUGGUCCUUUUGGGUUGCCUUCACCAAAGCAACUUGAUUGGAGAAAUAAAUAAAGAGAGAGAGGUUAUUAUGAUUUAUUAAUAUGUUAUAAGAAUAAUAUAUUAAAGGAGAAAUCAUAUUUGUUUAAUUAAUAUUGGUCAAUAAUUAAUUAAGAAUUAAUUUUGUGAUCAAGUGUAAUUAAUUAAACUAGAGGGGCUGAAUUGUAAUUAUGUGAUAGUUACAAAAUAUGGUAAUGGUUAUAAUAAAUAUGGGUUGAACGAAUUCAAGGAGAUAAGGAUCCUUGAAAUCGUCCAAAGGAUAAAAGAUAAGGGUUUUCAAGGCUUAUCUUAUGGUUGCUUGGUGGACAAGUAACUAGAUAAGGAUAAGGACUAAAACCCUAAUCCCAACCCUAUAUAAAGACCCCUAAGGCCUUAGAAUUUCGGGUACUUGUUCCCAAGAGGUCCUAAGGACGAAUUCCUGCCCUCUCCUCUCUCUUUAUACCUUCUCUAUUUGCUCUUGGUGUUUGUAAGCCAUUAGAGGAGUGACACUUGUGACUCUAAGCCUUCCAAAGUCAAUUCAAGGAGGAUUAGGAUUGUUAUUGCUAUAUAACAAUCAAGGUAUGUUCUUAAACCCAUUUAUAUGUUAAUAUUGAUUUCCAUAUGCUAGAAUUAGGGUUUAUAGUCUUGGAUUCAAAGCAUGUACAAUAGAGAAACCUAGAUCCAAGCUUCAGGGUUUGCAUGAGCACAUAGGAUGUUGUUAUGACCAAAACCCAUCAGUUAGGUCACUUCUUGUUCCACUUUUAGUUAAAAGUGCAACGAAAACAAAGGAAAUAUUCUAACGGGUCCCGAAAGUGGUUGUUUUCGCAAACCAAUUCUUGCGUGCAAAGGUUUUUUGAUCAACCGUUGUUGUUUGAUCUCGACAAAGACAAGUGAUUAUGACGUCUCAUUUUUUAUGUCACUCAUCGGAAAGUCAUCAGUUGUUGAAGCAAUUAAAAAGAAAAAUAAUUAAUUAUAAUAAGUCCCUAAAUUAAUUAGUUAAAAGAAAAGAAUUUCAAAUAAAGAAAAGGGGAAUAUUUUAGUUACGCCCAGCGUAAAUUUUAAUUACGCCAAGAGUAAUAAGCCACUGAUCGUGGAUGGCCUUUUCACGGAGUUGGGGUUACGCCCAGCGUAAAUCAAUGACCAAGUCUUAUCAUUUUACCCUUUGACUUCUUUGUUACUCUUUCAAAGUCUUAUGUUUCACCGCAUGCGCUGUGACGAACAAGCUCUCCCAAAAUCUCGAUUUUUUUUAUUCAUUUCUUGUAAAAUUCGACACACAUGUAUGUUAUUAGGUUACUCAAUGGUUUUGAUUUGUGUUUAAAUCGAUGAAAUAAGCUGCAUUAUGCCUUUGUUCGAAAUCUAGGGUUCAUGUAUUUCUCGAAUUAGGGGCCGAUUUCACAAAUGUAUGAUUGAUUCUAGCUUAAAUAGACCGAUUUCGAUCAAUAGACUAAACCCUAGGACCUAAUUUGGUCUUAAUCCCGUCCCAUGACCGCCGAUUUGAGCUUGGGGACGGACGCCAAGCAUACACCUAUACUCGGCUUCGAUUCUUUAACUGCCCCAAUGAAGUUUUCCCUGAGUAGUGUUUGCUAAUCUUGAAUAGAUAAGGAACGAACAGGGGAUUGAUUCAUCUUUUUGGACAUAAGUUUAAAGGUGGUCCCGUUUUUUUUUCUACUGUCUUGGACCACGCAGCUGUAUGCUCGAUAUUCCCCAUGUGUUUGCCCCUGCUGUGUUUGUUGCUUGUAGACGUGCUUAAUUUGAAAAUUUUGAUAUGUGUUAUGACUUUAGAACAAACAAGGGAACCCGACACAGAUUCGUGAACCCUGGACGUACGCCCAACGUAAGCUGGAUGUACGCCCAGCGUACAGACCAUGCCCAAGGACCAUUAUUUCAUUCUAAAAAAUUUUAAUGCUGUGAUAUGUUUUUUUUGGUUUUGGGUUGGUGUUUAUUUGUGCAGAUUAUGGCCCGAAGAACUCAAAGGACCAACCCACCCGAGGACGUGACCGAUCACCGUUUCUUGCAAUUUCCGCAAACUCUGAACGAUGCGACCCGGGCACGAUAUGUCAAUAAUUUGAGUUUGCUACUCACUAAGGAGAUCGACAUAGCACCCUCAUUUGACUGGGAAUUGGCGACCCAGACUGGACUUGCUGCACUGAUCCAAGAUUUUUUGCAAUACACGCACUCGGACGCGAGUAGAGUGCAUUUGUUCGUAUGUCAGGGAUGGGCACGAUUGUUCAGGAUCCAGGAGCCUGUUUAUCGGGAAUUUUUUCUGGAGUUUUACGCUACAGUUUCCUAUGACCCUAGGAAGGCACCCGAUGAUAGGAUAACUUUUUCCUUCAGACUGGGGGGUGUGAGCCGGGAAUGCAGUGUCAUAGAGCUUGCGACUCGAGUGGGUAUUUACACANAGAUGAAACGAGGAGUGUCCACUUCCCGACAUUCCUUGCUGAUUGUCUCACGGACCGGCCAGAUGACUAUAACGAAAACACUUUUCUGGCCGAGAUUACAGGAGGAGUUUAUACGCCAUUUACUGCACGGGGGAGGAUGAUUCGGUCUACUACAUACAGACUGCUGCACCGUUUGAUUUCCAUAUCUCUCACGCACCACAAGAACAGUGAGAGAGUGCCUUCGACAGACUUGUAUUUCCUAUGGGCACUUGUUACUCCAGGGAGGCACCUGAACCUUCCAGUUGCUUUAGCUGCAUAUUUGGGAUGGAGGGCCAGGGGACUUCGGGAGGAUAGCCCGAUUUGCGGAGGGCAUUUUAUCACGCGUUUAGCUCGAUCAUAUCAGUUGUUGACGCGUGAGAUCACGAGAUUGAUGGUGUUUCAUGAUAUGAGGUCGAUGAGCCUUCAGUUGUUAGAGUCGAUGCGUGUACUAGAGCGGGGUGGAGAUGGUGUCUUGCGGGUACUAUCAGAUGAUGUGGCGGACGAGGAGGGUGUCGUCGAGCCACAGCCGAGACGGGUCCAGCGGCGUAGACCUGCUCCUCGGGGAGCGCAGCAGGGACCUGAGCCGAAGAUUGAUAUGUGCUACCUAGCUCAGCGCAUUGACCGUAUUGAUUUGGGGGUUCAGAACCUUGGUGGAUAUGUUGCACACGUGGAGAGACAACAACAGUGGUAUGGGGAUGCGUUGACCGCAUUCUUUGCCCACCAGGGGUUUCAGUACUCGGUUCCCUUCCCUCCACCAUUCCAGCCAUGACAUGAUGGAGUCGGUACUUCUAGGACACAGCAGCAUGAUGACGGAGAUGAUGAGUGAUUUAGUUAUCCUUUUUAUUAUUAGUUUAUUUUUGUUAUUUUUAGUUUAGUAUUUUUAUUUGGUAUGUAAUUAAACUAUAAUUUAGGGUGUUUUACUUUUGUUUUCCAUGUUGACGCUCUUUGGUUGUUUAGAUCUCUGUAGAAUUUUCGCCCUUAGAAAGCUGGCAGUAAGUUCAGCAGCUAGGUCCGACUGUUGCUAGAGAGAGCCGUGUGAGAGUUCGAAGAUUAUAGUCAAGGCCCAAUAUUUUUCAUAAGUGUGGGGUGCAUAUUGAUUUCGUGAGCGAUUGUUUAGAAGAUUGGCAUUUUUACGAUAUUUUGACUCUUAUGAUAUGGAUGAGUUGUUCCCACACCAUAGAGUUUUAUUUCGACGCGAGGAAGAAGUAUCAUCCCGGCUGCCACGACAUGGUUGACACUUUCCUAUGUUGCGGGGGAUUUUUCAUCGCGAGAAGAGGAUGUCAUUCUUGACGAUACAAUGUGGUCGACACUUCCCCACGUCAUGGUUACUAUACAUUGCAUUUGUUUGCAAUCUUUUGCACCACAUUUUUGAAGCCGGCAGUCUUGAUUUUAUUCAUCGGCAAAUUCAGAAGCAGCAGNUUCAGAAGCAGCAGUUCCAGUUUUCAGUCUUUCAGCAAUAUUUGAAGCAACUUGUAGCAGCCCCAUUCGAUCUCGCCACAACUACCCAGGGGAGUCUGUUCCUUUUUCUCCCUUUUUAUGUUCUUAAUUCGUUUUAGCAUACAAUGAGGGCAUUGUAUGAAAAAAGUGUGGGGUAGGGGGUCGGUAAAAGUAAAUUAAAAUUAAAAGAAAAAAUGAAAUAAUAGUUUGGAAAUUGCCAGAUUUAGAAAAUUUAAAAUUUUAAAAAACUUGAAAUAAUAGUUUAAUUUAGAAAAAUCUAGUGAUAAUUUAAAAUUUUUGCUAAUAUUGUAUGAGAUGAUCCGAUGAGAACUCAAAUGUUUAGUUGAGCCAAUAUACGUUAUAGUGCAUUUGUGGCCUCCCUUAUUUUAGUGAAAUCAUGGAACAAAAACAUAACCCCGCUUGGUUUGAGGGAUGCAAUAUGUUUAGCAGCCUAAACUUGAAAUGUAUCCAGGAAAAUUAUUAUCAUUAACCAAUAAAGGUUGAGGUUGAGCGCCUCUGCUUAAGCAUGUAGGUUUUGAGUGAAAAAAGUGAGGUACAUGUAAAAAAAGAGAGAAUUACAAGAAAAGCUUGAAGAAUUUUGGAGCAAAUACAGUGAAGAUCAAAAGAUCAAAAUUCCAAGAAAUUCAAAAAGUUGAAGAUACUAGAAAUCAAAUCAAGUAAGGUGGUGAAUUCAAAGAAAUCAAAAAUCAAAUUAUCAAGAAAGUGAAGAAUUCAAAAGAGCUCCAUAGUGGUAUCAUAAAUUGUAAUUCUAGAUUAUGUAUGCUUAGGUUGCUCAACUAAAAAUACCUUGAGGUUAGGAGGUUUUCUGCGGAUGGAUUCGGAGGGUUGCAUUAAAUGAGCAUUGUUCGGAAAAAGUGGGCAAGUGUUUAUGAAGAUUGUGAGUAUUUAAAGUAUGGGGGGGUACUUUAGGAAAAUUUUAGACACAAAUGCAUGUGUUGCGGGCUUGACAUAAUGACUGAGUUUUAAAUGGAUUGUUUAGUACGAUAUUGGUAAAAUAAAAUUAAAUUUGCUUGGGGGCAAGCAAAGGUUAAGUGUGGGGUAUUUUGAUAUGUGUAUUUUUAAAUAUAUUUUAUGCAUUAUAUCUUAAUAUGUUGGCCUUUAUUAUUCUCUUUUAGAACUAAAAAGUACUUAUAAUGUUUUGAAUUAUGAUUUGCAGCUAUUCGUUGUCGAUAAAGCACAAAAGAAAAGACUGAAGUGGAAAUCGGGCUUAGAAGCUAAAAGAAAGGAAAAAUGUUGGAGGAGCCAAUUACGCCCCGCGUAAGUUGCAUGUACGCUAAGCGUAAUGACCAAAUUCAAGUUACGCCCAGCGUAAUAUUAGAUUAUGCCUCGCGUAAUGGCUGGCAUCAGAUAACUUCAAUCGCGUAAUAAUCUUCACUACGCCUAGCGUACGUAAGUCGGUUACAAGGGUUAUAAAAGUUGAUUAUCAGCUAACCAGAAGGGGGAUUCGACUUCCAACUUAAUUUAGUCGAUAUUAAACUUCUGUUAAGCCGUUUUGAGGGUCUAGAAGGCGGCUGGAAGGCCGUUAAGCUAACGGGAGCAGAGAUCGGAAGGGUUGAAGAGCGGAAUCAUGUCGGUAAUCAUAUGGGUUGUUAACGUGAUCAUGUUUAGCAUUCCAUUGUGUUACUAUUAUGUAUUUAGUUGCUGAUUUAGGUGUAAAAACCUUUUACUUUGCGUUUACGAUUGAAUGAAACUUUGAUUAUUAGACUAAUUGCUAUAUUGAAUUGUUUGUUUAUGUUUAAUUUAUCUUGCCAAGCUUCUUAAAAGAUCCUUACGUGUUAAUGAUAAUUAUUUGCUGUUAAUUAUUAAGUAAAUUGAGUUGUAUAAACAUCUGCUUGAUUGCUUGUUUCUUAUGAUUUGGAUGACCAUCGAGAUUAUAAGUCUAGGAAAAACGAAUGUGAAACUAGGAUUAACUUGAGAAUAAGUAAGUUAAUGUGUGAGCCUUGUUUGAUGACCAUCAACAAGAGGUUAAUUGAACGACCAAUUUGAUUAACUAUACUUACAGGUCUUGCUUGAUACGAACUGAACACUAGGAAGCAUGUUAGUUUAACCAACUGAUCACUGUUUGAAUUGACUUGUUUGCUAAAGGAUUAGUUAUAGUGAACGCGAAUCUAAUCAUUUUAGGAAUCGGUGAACAUGAAUAAAUGAAUUUGUGUGUGCAAUUGUCUAUGUUUUUAAGGUGUAAUUUAUCUAAACCAAAGUACCUGAAGAUAUUUGCUUUCCUGUUAGUUUAUUGAGAAUUGUUAAUUAAUUGUUCGUUUGAGAUUUAUUAAACUAUUUCUUUAUUCUUUUCGUAUGACCUGUAACCUAUAAUCAAAUAUUUUAAAUUAAUUCACCACCGUUCCAUGUGAUCGACACCCGACUUACCUAAGCUAUACUGUAACCUGACUAGGUACACUGCCUAUAAGUGCAUAGUUAGUCUAAGUUUGUUAGGUUAUAAAUAUUAAAAUUAGUGGGUACUUUUGUGCACAUCAGUGCCCUCCAAGUUUUGUGAUUGGGAUACAGAGGAUCACAAAACGAGGUGUGAAGUAACCAUGCAAAUCACUUGGUACCCUUAAAGUUUAUCACUCAAAUGAUGUGCGGGUUAACCACACACGCUCCACCGAUACUAUGAUAAACCUUAAGUCACCCUUUACCUACCUUGUUAAUUCCAUGUUAGUGUGCCGGUUAACCACACACACUCCACCACCGACUUAAACAAAGUGUAAAGUGUAAUUUAAUGGAUUAGCACCUUAUUCACAUAUUUCCUAAAGUAACUAAGAUUUGGGAAUUUAAUAAAACAUUUAGUUACUAUAUAAUAUUCAUCAUACUUUUAAUGAGAAUUUAUAAGUCUUUGUCCUACCCGUUCAGCUAACAACCCUCCACUGAUCAAGGAAGCGGUGGGUGAGAGUGGACACCUAUUAAGCUGCUAUUUUAUAGGCAGCAACCUCAUACCCCCUUAUAGACAAACUUCGUGAAUAAGGCCUACUAAUGGUAAGACGACUUGCUCUUAUAUAUAUAUAUAAANNNNNNNNNNNNNNNNNNNNNNNNNNNNNNNNNNNNNNNNNNNNNNNNNNNNNUAUAUAUAUAUAUAAUUAACUUAUAAUAUUAUAAAGUAUAAGGGUUGAUUUUUAACUUUUAAAAAAUCUAACUAAAGUUUAUUAAGUGACUUUACAUGUUCCAAAACUUGAGGGCAAGUUUUGUAACUUUACAAAAUCUUUCAAAUUCAUAACUUAUGAGUUAUUAAAAUAAAGACUCUUCAUUUUAUAACUUAUGUGUUCUUUUAAUGGUUUUUAACACAAAGAGACUUUUGGUUAUCCAUAACUUGAGGACAAGUUAUGGACUCCAUUAAAACACAUUAAGAUCAUGAAUUAAUCAUUUAAACAAGUAAUUCCUAUGAUCUAGAACAUGAAUAUUUAUAUCAAAGUUUCAAGAACAUAUGAACACAUAAAAUCAUGAAAAAAAUGAUAUUAGCCCUUAUAAAUGGAUUAGAACAACCAUUACACCAUUUAAAACAAGUUUUACAACACCAAAACAGUUUAGGGUAAUGUUUCUUAUCCAUUUCCAGUAACAAAACUCGAAAUUUUGCACCCUGCAUGGCCAACUCUUCGAGUACACGAACUGACUCACCGAGUUGGAUGCAUUUUCACUUGGACUCGUCGAGUCCUCCCCGUGGACUCGUCGAGUACCCUGCGCAGACACCUCAAAAAUCAAUUUUUUACACUAUUUUGCAUCAAGUAUUAACAAACAAGCCUAGGCUCUUAUACCACUAAAGGGUUAUGAGCAUUCUAACACCCCUAAGUGUACAUGCAACCCUAGAAAAACCUUGGAUCUAUGUUUGUCUAAAACACAUGCAAAAUAUGAUUUCCAAGGUUCAUAAUCCUAUCUAGAAUACAUGGGGAACUUUUAAUCUAAAAGAUGGCUAGAAUUACAUACCUUGUAGUUGAUUUGAUUCCUUGAAAACCUUGAGAGCCUAGCAUCUCAAGUGUGAUGCCUCAAAUGCUUCACACAACACCAAAUGUUUUGGAAUGACUUUAAGAGAAUACAAACACUUGUAAAAAUCGGCCUAGCCCUCUUGUAACUUCAUGUAACCGAUUUUGGUGAGUAUCAUGUUCCUUAUAUAGUGUGUCACAUCUAGGGUUACACCAUGUAUACCCUAAUGUGACAUGACUCUUCAUUUCCAUGACCCAUGGGUUUGUAACUCCCAUGGAGCAUCAUAUGGGUUUAACCCAACUUGAUAAUCCAUGAAGCCUUUUAGCCCACUAUACAAGUUAUGGGUGAUUUACAUAAUCAACCCAUAUAUUUAAUUAGUUAUCUUUUGAUCACUUAAUUAAUUCCAAAUUAAUUCUUGAUCAAUACUAAUUAAAUAAUACUAUUAAUAUAUUAGAACUUAUAAUAUAUUAAUAAACCAUAAGUGUUAUUUCUCUCAUUUAGUCUAUCCAAAUGGAUGAUGCCAUGCAACCCAAAUGGACCAUGCUGGGUCGGGUCAAGUACAUACCAAAUAUAGUUAUGGACUUAGACACCUUCUCCAACAAAGAGGACAGUGGGAGUCUAAAAGAUCCCGAAUGAGUUUCAAGAACUAAUCAAGAAUAAAACAUGUAGAUUAUCACUAGCGCGCGACUCGAGGUUUAUCACCUAUCAUGUUGACAUAUUCUUAUUUAUGUGCCCAUUCUAGUUAAAGUUGACUAUGCAUCUGAGUUCUACAAAUUGCAAUUGUUUUCAUAACAACCUACAAGCAAUGGUUGGCCUUGUGCUGCCAAGUGGCAAGAAGUUAAGAUUGCACAAGUACAGUACAUAUUAGUUUGUAUUUGUCACUAACCUUGUCUUAUGAUUUUGGCUUCAAUCGGCGGAGGAACGGCGGCUGGAGAAGAAGGGGUGAUAAGGUGGUGGUUGGGAAGGUGUUUAGGGUUUGGGUUUUUGAUAACCGGUAGUGCUAAGGUUAUACACCCAAUCCUCAUAACCAUUUUCCAUAAUGCCAAGAAUAGCCCUCCCCAUACAAAUCUUUGCAAGAAAGAUCUCAUAUUUACCCAUUACACCCCUAUUCUUGUAAUUCUUUACAUAAUCAAUCCAACAAUUACCGAAUAGCCCCUCCUUUACAAUUUUUUUUCAAAUAAAGUCCAUAAGUUACCCUUCAGCCCUUAGUUUUCCAAAAUCUUUUCAAAUUAACUCCCAAUAAUUUACCAAGUAGUCCUUGCCUUCACAAUUAUUUACGAAAUCAAUCUGACACUUACACUUUCAACCCCCAACUUCUAAAAUUGUGACAAUUAGCUCCUCGAGACCAACACCUUGCUAUAUAAUUAUUGAUUUUAGGGCUACUAUACAUUCAUUAAUUUAUUUAAUAAAUGGGGCGUUACAUGAAAACUGUAAGCACGAAGCUUAGUGAGUCUCUCCAAACUACCACAUACCAUUCACAUAAUCACAUAUAUCAUACAUUAGGCUAUGCCCUACUACAUCGAGCACUGCCCAACAUCGGCUUGUCCAGCAUCGAGCCCCAAUCAACAUCGGACCGCAUCUAGCAUCGGGCCCCACCCGGCAUCGAGCACAGCUUGGCAUACAUGUGAGCAUAAACUACUAACAAACAUAACAUAAACAUAAUCACUUAAUUACAGACAUAUAAACAUUCCUCGGGCCCCUCCCAACAUCGGACCGAAAUCCGAAAACAUGCAAACAUUCCUCAGAAACCACCCCAGCAUCGGACCAUAGUCCGGAAACAUACAAAUACAUGCACAUGAAAGAAUCACAAAGACAUCGAGCAUACUAAUAUCCUUCGGGUACCAUCCCGACAUCGGAUCGAAAUCCGGAAAACAUAUAAACCUACAUCGAGCCCCGGCUGACAUCGGAUUUUAAUCUGGAACAUACUAACAUACAUAAAUGGGUUGGCCUUGGUGCCUUAGACUCGUUCCUACUGGAGGAAAACUCACCUCUCAAGUUGGCUGCUAAAAUUUCGUCUGACGAAUCUCUAAUAACUGCUCCAACGACUCCCCAGCUAUCAUUAUCACAAUAAUCACUUAGUCAAUAACUAAUAAUCCUUCUAAGGGUAAAAUGACCAUUUUACACCUAGCUAAAGUCAUCAUUCUGGUCAAAGUCAACAUUUUGUCAGACUCAACUCGCCGAGUGGACCUAUCAACUCAUCGAGUUCUAUAACUCAAAAAUCCUAGAAAUUGCUAUUUAACUCGUCGAGCUCUAUCUGUCACAGAAUUAGGACACCACGAUUCAACUCGUCGAGUCAUUCUAUGGACUCACCGAGUUCCUUGUUUUGUUUGAGCCAACGUAAUGGAUUAAGCUCAUAUCCUUCAGAUCUAAACCCCAUACUUCAUCUACAUACUGAAAACAUACCUUUAAGUGUAAACAUUCCAACUUUACCCGCUAUUAAUCCUUCUUAAAAGGUUUAGCUCAAACCCUAGCUCUCUAGAUCAUAGAUCUUGGUCCAAAAGCCAUAAUAAUCCAAACUAAAUAAUACUAACAUAGAUCUAGGCCUUCGACAUCACUUGGACACGUAAAGCUCCUAACUUUCCUUCCAUGCAUGGCCUUUUGGGGCUAAAAAUGCCAAAAUAACACCUUAGGGCUUGCAUGGGGUUUCCAAUGGCAUAAAGUUUGCACCUUUAUGCCAUAACAACCAUUAAUGAUUCCAGAUCUGAAAGGAUACUUGCUUGGGACAUCCAUAUCCCAAGGGUCAAGCUUCUUGGACCCAGAAACCCAAUAAAGUGACAAAGAAGAGAUCUAACAAGCUACUAAGCAAAGUUGAGACUUGAAUACCAGAAAAUGAAGAGGAUGAGAUGUUGAUUCUGUAUCUACUAGCUUCCUUCUAAAACUCCAAGCUUCUUCUCUUCUUCACAGGCUUCAAAUACACAAGGUUCACACGAAAAUGGCUCAUAAACCCACAAAAGGCUCUAAGGUUUCGAGGAUUAGGGUUUGGGACUUAGAGGCUGGAAAAUGAGGCUGAUAUAUGGGGAUUAAGAUGCUUAAAUAGGGUGCAAAACCUUGAAAUUAGGGUUUCGUUCUGGCAGACCUACUCGUCGAGUUAAAGGUCUCCACUAAUCGAGUAGAUGGCUUAAAACCCGCAUCCAAUCUUGUUUCUACUCGACGAGUCUAUGACUCCCAACUCGUCGAGUAGCUCAUCAAAAAUAAGUAAAUUAUAAAUAAAUAUGUACUAGGAACCAGGCGUUACACACUUUCACGUUCUAAAAGAACCAAUAUCCACUAUUAAUAUUGCUAUUAUUAGAAACAUAAUCAACACUUUGAUUAAUGUCUUUGCAAUGAAAUAUAAGAUAAGGCAUCUUCAGAAACCAACACUUCAUUUUAUUUUUAAAAGAAACUUGGAACUUGUCCUUACAAAGCAUAAAAUGAAAAAAUAUAUGUCUACACAUCUCUGAAGAGUAAUACCAUAUCUAUUAAAUUAUCUUAACUCCUAUGUAGUAACUCCAAAUUUUGACCAUCAAACCAUGCAACAAAAGUCCAUCUCUCACGAUUAGAUUUAGCUCACUUUAUUCUUAAGCUUCUUUCUUUCUUUUAAAUCCUGCAAUACCAUCAAAAUGUGAUCAGCGCAUCAUAUAUUAAGAUUCUAAGAAUAGGAACUUAUAAUGUGUUGGAUUAGAUUUCUAAGCCCAUAACUAUUAUUGGUAUGUACUUGAACCAAGAGUAGCAUGGUCCAUUUGGGUUUUAUAUCAUCAGGAAAAUUUGUUAGGAUGGAUUUUUGAGAGAAGGUUAUAUAUAUGAUUUAUUAAUAUAUUAUAAGUUAUCAAAUUUUAAUAUGAAAUCAUAUGUUUUAAUUAUUAUUGAUUAAAAUUUAAUUUGGAAUUAAUUUUUUGAUGAAAAGAGACUAAUUGAAUCUAUGGGGACUAAUUAUGGUGAUUAGUUAUAGUUAUAUGUGUUGGGCUUAUGAUCCAUGUUGGACCACGUUUAUGUAUGUAUACAUAAAGAGUUGGGCGACAUGAACCAUGGAUCAUAACUCCCAUGGGUAUGGGUUUAAGUUAACCCAUGACCUUAGGAAUUCCACAUAUUAAUAUGUUACUUCAUAGAUAAAAUCAAAACGAAUGUAUUCUUGGAGGAUAUGGACGGUUUUGAUGUGUGUGAAUUCUUUCUCAAGUUUCAUCCUUUGUCCAUGAUGUGUUGUGACUUUAUUUGAGGCUUCCACACUAUUGGGGGUAAGCUCUUAAGGCCAAAUACAUCAAGACUUCAAGCUACGUAAAAGGUACGUUACCCUAACUAGUAUCUUAUAUGCUUUAUGUCAAAUGCAUGCUAGUUAUAGGUUUAAUGCAUUGGAAACCAUUUGCAUGUAUAAUUUUUGAAAACAUAGAACCAAGGUAUUUAGGGUUGUAUGUGCACCAUAGGAUAUUGUAGUAUACAAAACCCAUCAGUGGUAUCGAAGCCUAGGCUUGGUUUUUAAUUAUACUUGAUGCAAUUGCUGACAAAAAUCAAUUUUCUAUUGUUCUGGUCAGUGGACUCGCCGAGUCUACUAAUGGACUCGCUAAGUCCUUGUACAAAUUCAUCCAACUCGCCGGGUUUGUUCUUGUACUCGACGAGUCGGAGCCCAUGGGUGCAUAUUUUCGAUGUUUUAGCUGGAGUUGGACUAGAAUCAUUACCCUAAGCUGUUUUUCAACUUCUAAACCUAUUUUUGAUGUGGUAAUGAUCAUUCUAAUCAAAUUCGAAAGAUAAUUGUCAAAAUUUUCAUGCUUUGUAUUGGUUUAACGGUUAGGCUAAUUACAUGAAGAUUGUUUGAUUUAGAUUGUCUUGUUCAUAUGAGUUUAAUCUAGAUCAUAGUUUUUCUUGACAUGUUUGUUUGUUUAUUAGAUUAUCCAAAUAGCCUUUAAUGGAUUCCAUAACUUGUCCUCAAGUUAUGGAAAACCAAAAGUCUUUCUUGUUAACGAGUCCUUAAAUGUCAUGAGUUAUGUAUUUGAAGAGUUUUUCCCAUAUAUUGUUUUAUGACAUCCAUAACUUGUCCUAAGUUAUGGAUUUUCAAGAGUCUUGCCACUAAAAGCCAUAUUAAACUCAUAUGUUAUGGAUUCCAAAAGUCUUUUGAAUUUUUCAAAAUUUGCUCUUAAGUUUUGGAAUUUGUAAAGUUUCCCCCGUGAAUACUUUAAUGCCAAGUUAAACCCUUAGAAUUGUAAAAGUUAAAAUUCAACCCUUAUACUAUAAUAAUAUCAUAGUUAAUAGUUAUAUAUAUGUAUAAGAACAAAGUCAGUACUACCAUUAGUAGGCCUCAUUCACGAAGCCGAUCUAUAAGGGGGUAUAAGGUUACUGCCUAUAAAAUGGUUGUUUAAUAGGUGUCUACUCUCGCCCACCGCUUCCUUGACUAGUGUAGGGUCGUUAGCCAAACGGGUUUGACAAGACAUUAAUUCUCCUUUCAUUAAAAGUAUAAUGAUAAAUAUAAAGUGACUAAACCUUAUUAAAUUCCUAAUCUUAGUUAUUUUAGGAAAAUGUGAAUUUGGUGAUAACCCAUGAAAUUACACUUUGUACCUUACCAAGUAGUUAGUGGAACGUGUGUUGGUAACCGACAAACUAACAUAGACUAGUAAGGGAGGAAAAUGGUAACUUAAUGUUUAUCAUAGAUUGGUGGAGCGCGUGUGGGUAACCGGUACAUCGAUUAGGUGAUAAAAUUAAGGGUACCAAGUUAAUUUGCAUGGUUAUUCACACCUUGUUUGUGAUCCUCGGCAUCCCAGUCACAAACUUGAGAGGGCACAAACGAAAUUUAAACAUGACAUUGAAAAGUUCAAUGAAUCUCAAAAGAUCUAGGAGUUUCAGUCCAAUUAAAACCCUAUUAGGUUUUAAUGGUGGAAAUUGGUAAAUCCUCAUUCGCCUACCUUCAAAUAUUUUAUAGCUUGGAUCACAGCAUCCCUCUUCCAAGUUAUAAAAUAGUGUGUUGGGUCCUAGCCUUAAUAUUUCAUAUUGGGUGUUAUAUUAAGGACUUAAAUCUACUAACUUGAAUUUCUCCCAUUGUAGAUGUGUAACGCCCCGUUCUUGAAAUAUCUAUGUAUGGGUUCCCGAGAGCAAGAGUAAGGGCGUUUCGGUCCUUGGUGUGGAUAUAGAGUUUAUCGGGAACGGGUUUAGAAUAGAGGAGUUGCGACAUUUCGAAGAUAUUGUCGAUUAUAGCCCUUAAUGGGAAAAGUGGAUAAGGAAGGCCAAGUAUGAGAAUGGGACACGCUGAGUAUGCCCAGCGUAAUUGGGUAAAUGGACGCGGGUGCGAGGUCGAGUAUGCCCAGCGUACUCUCAGAGUCUUAAAACCCUAAUUUUAGGGUCAACCACUAUAUAAGGAACAUAAUGGUUCUUACCCUAGCCUCCAUAAGCACUCUCUUAACCUCAGAAACCCUAGAUAGCCAUUCCACCUCCAUUGUUGGGUGUGUUUGGCCUUGGAAAGCUUGUUUUGGCAAAAGAGAGGCCAGAAGAAGAAAGAGGAAGUUGUCAAAGAAGGAGUUAAGUGGCUGGAGCUUGUAGAUCUGGAAAGAUAUCCUCUUCUGGAUCCCUUUUGAGGUAUAAAGUCUCUUGCUUGACAAUCUUAUUGUAUAGAUCUAUGUGCUGUGAAGUUUUGACAUCAUUCUUGUCCCAAAAUUCCUCAUCUUGAUGCAUGUUUCGAGUUGGUCGAGAUUAUUUGUCCUUUCAGAACUUAGGAGAGGUCUUGAGUAAGAGAAAUGAGGUCCCAAGGGCUGUGGUUGGUCCAUGUGUGAGAUAAGUAGGUCUUAAUGGAUUAAGAGCUUUAUGGACGUCCCAAGUAAUAAAGUUUAAGACCUUAUGAAUCCUAGGCAUAUUUGGUCUAUGGAUCUGAAGUUUGGACUUAAGAGCUAAAGCCAUUAAUAUCUUAUGGGAAGUUGUAGUUCAGCAGAGUUACGCCCGGCAUAACUGAGAGUACGCCCAGCGUAGUGGGGUUGUGCCCCGUUUCCUUCUCGCGAUCAGCGUUGUACACCCAGCGUACCAAGGAGGGUAAGCCCAGCGUACUCCCCCUAUUCGGUUUUCAUUUUGGGCCUUAGGAGUUUGGGCUGUUAUUGAGCUAUUGGAUUUUGGAUCGUGACUGGACAUUAUGGAUGGAGUAUUGUGGACUCACUAAUUAUAUUGGACCUUGGAUCUAGGCCCAUUUGGUGAGGUGGGCCCAAUUUAGUAAAUUGGGCCAAUAUUGGGCUUUGCUUCGGACUUUGGGUCUUUGGGCCAUUAGUGGGCUUGAGAGCUUAUCUAGUGUUAGGCUUAUCUACCAAUUUACCCUUGGAAGGAUAUUGUGCUUGGUCUAAUGCUUGUUUUGCUACUUCGGAUAGUUCGGGAUUUUCGGUGAGGCGGUGAUUCGGGAAUCUGCUUCUUGAGUUCAGAGUUUCGUCAGUUGCGAGGUGAGUUAUCUUCACUAUAUCAACAGGGUCUAAGGCACCAAGGCCGACCCUUUUAUCGGACUGAAAUCCGGGUAUCGUUGUUAUGUUAUUGCUUUGUUAUGUUUGCAUCCUGGUAGUUAGGAUGGUAUUAUGUUAGAGACCUGGUUAAGGUCGGUAUCCUAGUAUAUAGGAUGAUGCUAUGCUAGUGACCAGUUAGGUCGGUAUCCUGGUUAGGAGGAUGUUAUGUUAUGUGAUCUAUUAGAUCGGUUGAUUGAGUGUAAAUUGUUAUAUGUUUGAAUGUUUAUGUGCACAUGGUUGUUAGACUGGGGUUGGGUUGAGUCGGGUCCUGGUUUGUGCUGUAGGCCACCAUACCCAGGGCGGACCGGUUGACCUGAAGGCCCAGCGAGUAGUCCGGAUAGGCUGUAGGCCCCAAGAGGGCGGACCAGACGUGCCGAGGCUCGGAGAGUGGACCAGACCGACUGAAGGCCCGGUGCGGGCGGACCAGUCAUACUGUAGACUCAGAGAGUGGACCAGGUGGAUUGAAGGCCCGGUGCGGGCGGACCAAUCACACUGCAGACUCGAUGUAUAUAGAUAGACUCGGAGGGUGGAACAGGUGGACUGUUGGCCGGUGCGGCGGACCAGUCACACAGUAGACCCGAAGUGCAUGGCUGUUCUGUGUUCUGAUAUGAUAUGGCAUGUUAUGCGUGUAUGGUAUAUGUGGUUGGUAUUUUGGGGGUAUCUUACUAAGCUUUCAGGCUUACAGUUGUGGUUUAAUGUUUUUCAGGUUCUUCAGGAGACCGUGGCAAGGCAAAGGCGUGAUCAUACCGCUCCUCAUGAUUUUGUUUUAUGAUGUGAUUCUAGGAAGACUCUGAUAAUAAUUGUAUUGAAAACCUUUUUGUAAUAACAUUAUGAAAAUGGGUUGUUUUUGAAAAGUUAAAAUUGGUUGAAAUUUUAUGGUCGUUACAAGUUGGUAUCAGAGCCUUGGUUUGAGUGAAUUGGAGGAACAUUUGUGUGAAUCCAGUCUCAAAUCAAGGAGAGUUUUUAAAAAGAGAAUUUAAAAUGGUUUUCAAAAUGAGUAAAGGAGGACGCAGAGGUACGAUCAGCCGGAGCUAGUAAGUAACCCCAAAUACCAUACAUGAUAUUUGUUUUGAGUUAUGAUAGAACAGCAUGCUAGUACUAGGCUAGGGAUCUUCAGGAUUUCAUGAUAAUGUUGCCUGUUUUAUGAUGCCUGCUAGCCUAGGGAUUCUUCUGUGGGAGAUUUCCAAUGUUCCUCUAGGAGUCAGGAUUGAGUUCUUGUUAUGUUUGUUUUCACUAGGGUGUUGUGGUGAUAAUUGAUAUAAAUAUGGGUAGGUGUGGAAGGUAGUAUGGGCCCGUACUAAUGAAAGCACAGGACCCAUACGCGUAUCAAAUAAACCACAACCUCUAGGGUUGGUUUGGGGGUUGGUUCCCGGGUUAGUGGGAAGUAUCUGAGAUCUUGCGAUGUUUUUCAGUAUGGUGGUUACGAGGCAUGCUGGGAGCGGAUCCGGGUCAGGAUCGGGAGCAGGAGAGGAUGGUCAGGGUGGGUCGGUACCGCCCGAGGUUAUUGGUCAGAUGAGCACAGGCGAGUUGGAUGCUAGGAUUCAUGAGAUCCUGCAUGAUGAGGUUGUUGCAUUGUUCCGGGCCGAGCUGUCGGAACUGUUUGGGUCGAUCAAGACCGACAUGGUUGAGUAUUUUGAUGAGCGUUAUGCGGCUCUCACAGAGACGGCUGCCGCAGCGACAGGGGGAGGAGCCGGUCGAGGUUUUCAGUAUCGGGACUUCGAUAAUACGAAGCCUCCUACCUUUGAUGGAGUUCAGGACCCGAUUGUUGCUAUGAGAUGGUUGUCAGACGUGGAGGGAUGUUUCCUCACGUGUUCGUGCCCUGGUGAUCAGAGGGUGAGGUGUGCUCUGAACCUGUUAAGGCUCGGGGCGAAGGAUUGGUGAAGAUUGACCACGAGGUCAUAUUCGGAUGCGCAGAGAGCUGCGGUUUUAUGGGAUCAGUUCUGGGAGAUGUUCAGCACUCGUUAUGUUCCACGGGUUGAGAGGGAGAGAUUAGCUCAAGAGUUCCUGGAACUGAAGCAGGAUUCGGAGUCGGUGACGGAAAUCACCAGGAUGUUCACUGAGAGGGCGAUGUUUUGCCCUGAGUUCGCUUCUGAGCAGGCUCAGAUGUCCCGAUAUCUGAGUAUGCUCAAGAGGGAUAUCAGGCAGUUUGUGUCUACGCAGAGGUGCGAGACCUUGUUGGAGUUGCAAGAGGCCGCCGGGCGGCGUGAGUUGGAGAUUGAGUUGCAGUUGCGAGAGCUGAGGCAGGCUCCUGUGCAGUAGCAGCCAGCGUUGAGACGGUCCAAGACCGUUGAUUCUAAAAUGGGAGAUCAGAUCAGCCACACUUGUGGGAAGUGUGGAAGGGGUCACACCGGAGUUUGUAGGUCCGGUGGUGCAUGCCGCAAGUGCGGAAAGGAGGGGCACUAUGCGAGGGAUUGUCGGCAGACAGCCCCGGUUCGGGAUUGGAGGAUUUGUUAUCAUUGCCAUCAGGUUGGACACUUGAGGGUCAACUGUCUACAGCUUACUGCAGGACCGGUGCAGGCUCAAGCACCGGCCACAUUGAGGAUCACGGGUGGAGGUUAGGGUGGAGCGGAGCCCCCAAGGGCUCAGGGUCGUGCUUUUCAAUUAUAGCAGAGGAGGUCAAGGUAGUGCCAGAUGCAGCUGCGGGUAUGUUUCUUUCUUGAUGUCUUGUUAUUUUAUGAUUAUUGUGGAGUAUUGUUUAUCUACUAGUCUCGUUGUGUGGUUUUCGGUAUUGUAUUCGUUGAUUUUUGAGGGUUAUGGUAUGGUUAUGGGUUUAGUGUUGGGAAUUUUGUUGGUUAUCAUUCAUGAGGGUUAUUUGUGGAAAUCUGGCAUUUGGUCUGAAUGUCGGGUAGGAUCUGCAGUCUAAGGAGUGAUUAGCUGAAGAUCGAGAUUCUUUCGAGCCCGGGAUGAUCAGUGUUGAUAUGUGAUUUUGUGAAGGUUGUCGUUCUAGUGGGAAUCAGUUCGCGUGUAAGUGUUUGUGUUGUGUAAGGUUAUUGAGGGAGGUCGGUGAUGGCGACCGGUGGUUGAUAGUCAGUGCUCUAAGUGGGGGAGAAUUGGAGAAAUCUCAAGAAGAUCGAUAAGCAUGAGAGGUUGUUUAGCUGCAUGGGAUUCAGCAGUGUAUCUGUCAGCCAAAAGCGUAGGUUGGUAUGUGUAAGUGGCAGGCGUGCGGGGCGGGAUACAGACCAAGGGUAAUUGAUUAUAGAAGGCCUGGGAUCGGGCCGGGUUUGAGUAUGUAGGAAGGAGGUAGAGUUCGGAACCCCUAGAGGGCUAGAACAUUUUGCAUGGGAGAGUUUCCCAGAGGGAUAACUCGGAAUGUUGAUUGCUAGUUGAGAGGUCCGGAUAGACUGAAGGCCGGUAGGCGUACCAGUCAGGCCGAAGGCUCGGAGAACGGUCCAGCCAGGCUGAAGGCUCGGGAGGGCAGUCCAGAUCUACUGAAGGUUCUGAGAGUGGUCCAGAUUGGCUGAAGGCCUGGUAAGGCGUUCCAGUCAUGCUGAAGACUUUGCAUGUGUCGUUAGAUCGGUGCGAGGAAAUGGAUUGAGUAUGUCGCGAUAUGUUAGCGUUAGAAGGUCUAGCCCCGAGUAUUGAUCAUGGUGGGUGGAAGGUAGAGCAUGGACUUGAGAGUCCUUGCGGGAGGAUCCAGAGCAUGUGUGGUGCAUAGGAUAGCAAUUAUGCUAUAAGACAAUGGUGUAGUAUUGAGUGAGCACCAUGGCACUUGUGGUAGUGUCAAGGCAGCCAAGUGGAUUUCCUUGGUAAGGGAAAGGAAAGGAAUGUAGCUCCGAGAGGGAGUGUAAGUUCACGGAAGUGAAAGCAAUAGUGCAGAGUUAUGAUUGGGGUGUUCCAAUCAUGGUUGAUGAGCAGUGUGUCGACGGCUGUGGUAUGGAAUCACAUCCGGGAUGAAUGUUUGCUGAGGCUCGGAAGAAUGCAGGGAUGGAAUCUUGGAUUUCCAGUCUGAUUUUGUUUUAUGUGGUGGAAAUUCAUCCUGGGGGAUGUUUGGAGGUGUCGUCAGUGUAUCGGGUUUUCCCAACCCGAAGAUGCUAAAGCCAGUCCAGCAUGGGUGUGAGAUUGCGGUGGAGAACUCAUGGGAGUUGCUCUGAGGCUGAAGGAUGUGUCAUCAUGUCAGCAUGGAGUGGAUAAGUUGGGCUCAGACCGGGAAUUCCGGUGGUUCAUGGAUUUUUCUAGCUCGUAUGAGUUGAGAGAUUGUUGUGUUUUGGAGCGAGUGAUGUAUCAUGGAGUGGUAUUCAGUUGAUAAGUGUGGUUAUCAGAGGAUGAGGCCGGUGGCCGGUUUGAAGUGGUGGUCAGAACACCGCAAGAAAAGGAAAGUUGGGUUUUGAGUUUCGGUGGCUGUGUCUUGAGAAACCUGGUCUGGUUAAUGCCAGGUGGUGCAUUGCAGGAUUAGUUUUGGAGUUGAGCUGCCGCAGGCUUCGAGGACGAAGCCUAAUCUAAGUGGGGGAGAAUUGUAACGCCCCGUUCUUGAAAUAUCUAUGUAUGGGUUCCCGAGAGCAAGAGUAAGGGCGUUUCGGUCCUUGGUGUGGAUAUAGAGUUUAUCGGGAACGGGUUUAGAAUAGAGGAGUUGCGGAAUUUCGAAGAUAUUGUCGAUUAUAUCCCUUAAUGGGAAAAGUGGAUAAGGAAGGCCAAGUAUGAGAAUGGGACACGUUGAGUACGCCCAGCGUAGGCUGGGUUACGCCCAGCGUAAUUGGGUAAAUGGACCCGGGUGCGAGGUCGAGUAUGCCCAGCGUACUAGAGGUACGCCCAACGUACUCUCAGAGUCUUUAAACCCUAAUUUUAGGGUUAACCACUAUAUAAGUAACAUAAUGGUUCUUACCCUAGCCUCCAUAAGCACUCUCUUAACCUCAGAAACCCAAGAUAGCCAUUCCACCUCCAUUGUUGGGUGUGUUUGGCCUUGGAAAGCUUAUUUUGGCAAAAGAGAGGCUAGAAGAAGAAAGAGGAAGUUGUCAAAGAAGGAGUUGAGUGGCUGGAGCUUGUAGAUCUGGAAAGACAUCCUCUUCUGGAUCCCUUUUGAGGUAUAAAGUCUCUUGCUUGACAAUCUUAUUGUAUAGAUCUAUGUACUGUGAAGUUUUGACAUCAUUCUUGUCCCAAAAUUCCUCAUCUUGAUGCAUGUUUCGAGUUGGUCGAGAUUAUUUGUCCUUUCAGAACUUAGGAGAGGUCUUGAGUAAGAGAAAUGAGGUCCCAAGGGCUGUGGUUGGUCCAUGUGUGAGAUAAGUAGGUCUUAAUGGAUUAAGAGCUUUAUGGACGUCCCAAGUAAUAAAGUUUGAGACCUUAUGAAUCCUAGGCAUAUUUGGUCUAUGGAUCUGAAGUUUGGACUUAAGAGCUAAAGCCAUUAAUAUCUUAUGGGAAGUUGUAGUUCAGCAGAGUUACGCCCGGCGUAACUGAGAGUACGCCCAGUGUAGUGGGGCUGUGCCCCGUUUCCUUCUCGCGAUCAGCGUUGUACGCCCAGCGUACCAAGGAGGGUACGCCCAGCGUACUCCCCCUGUUCGGUUUUCAUUUUGGGCUUUAGGAGUUUGGGCUGUUAUUGGGCUAUUGGAUUUUGGACCGUGACUGGACAUUAUGGAUGGAGUAUUGUGGACUCACUAGUUAUAUUGGACCUUGGAUCUAGGCCCAUUUGGUGAGGUGGGCCCAAUUUAGUAAAUUGGGCCAAUAUUGGGCUUUGCUUCAGACUUUUGGUCUUUGGGCCAUUAGUGGGCUUGAGAGCUUAUCUAGUGUUGGGCCUUUCAUAUUUUGAUGGUGGGCCUUAGUCAUGGGGCGGAUUGUGUUAAGGGUAAUUUGGUAAAUUUACCCUUGGAUGGAUAUUGUGCUUGGUCUAAUGUUUGUUUUGCUACUUCGGAUAGUUCGGGAUUUUCGGUGAGGCGGUGAUUCGGGAAUCUGCUUCUUCAGUUCAGAGUUUCGUCAGUUGCGAGGUGAGUUAUCCUCACUAUAUCAACAGGGUCUAAGGCACCAAGUCCGACCCUUUUAUCGGACUGAAAUCCGGGUAUCGUUGUUAUGUUAUUGCUUUGUUAUGUUUGCAUCCUGGUAGUUAGGAUGGUAUUAUGUUAGAGACCUGGUUAAGGUCGGUAUCCUGGUAUAUAGGAUGAUGCUAUGCUAGUGACCGGUUAGGUCGGUAUCCUGGUUAGGAUGAUGUUAUGUUAUGUGAUCUGUUAGAUCGGUUGAUUGAGUGUAAAUUGUUAUAUGCUUGAAUGUUUAUGUGCACAUGGUUGUUGGACUGGGGUUGGGUUGAGGCGGGUCCUGCUUUGUGCUGUAGGCCAANGGACCGGUUGUCCCGAAGGCCCAGCGAGCGGUCCGGAUAGGCCGUAGGCCCCAAGAGGGCGGACCAGACGUGCCGAGGCUCGGAGAGUGGACCAGGCCGACUGAAGGACUGGUGCGGGCGGACCGGUCAUACUGUAGACUUAGAGAGUGGACCAGGUGGAUUGAAGGCCCGGUGUGGGCGGACCAAUCACAUUUUUGACUCGAUGUAUAUGUCUAGACUCGGAGGGUGGACCACGUGGACUGUUGGCCGGUGCGGCGGACCAGUCACAUAGUAGACCUGAAGUGCAUGGUUGUUCUGUGUUCUGAUAUGAUAUGGCAUGUUAUGCGUGUAUGGUAUAUGUGGUUGGUAUUUUGGGGGUAUCUCACUAAGCUUUCGGGCUUACAGUUGUGGUUUAAUGUUUUUCAUGUUCUUCAGGAGACCGUGGCAAGUCAAAGGCGUGAUCGUACCGCUCCUCAUGAUUUUGUUUUAUGAUGUGAUUCUGGGAAGACUCUGAUAAUAAUUGUAUUGAAAACCUUUUUGUAAUAACAUUAUGAAAAUGGGUUGUUUUUGAAAAGUUAAAAUUGGUUGAAAUUUUAUGGUCGUUACAAGAUGUCUGGUUCAGACAACUAUGAUCUUCCCAAAUCUCUUGGAACAAGCUUUCCUAAUGAAGAUGAUGUCCCGCAAUUGGAUCAUGGAAAUCAUACUUCUCUUCCUCCACCUCCUCCAAUUAUUCUCCCUAACCCACAAGUUCUUGAAAAGUUCAAGGUCACUCAAUCCCUAUUGGGAAUCAAAGUCUAUAUGUGUUUACAUCUUGGAGAUGAAGUUACAUAUUGAUAGGAUGGGAUAGUUGGGAGUCAAAGUCUCGAGGAAGUUGGUUGUUGACUGGGUUCUUUAGUCACUCCUUAAUGACAGAUCACAGCAUGAACCUUAUUGAUCUUACCUAUUUGUUUGUUACUGUUGAAUCAACAAUGAUUUGGAGCACUGGUAAAGCAAAUUUGAUUGGAAGAUCCACUUCCCAAACUUCCAUAGACAUUGACAAUGGUGACAUUAGUAGUCUAGAAAAACUUUCUCUUCCCAAUGGAAAGGGAUUAGCCAUGUUCAAGUCAUUUGACCCAAUGGUAAAUAGAAAGGCUAAGUCUGAGAUAGUCUCGUGUACCAUUCCUAGAAGUCCAUAUGUUUCUUUUGCCAAAAGAAUGGGCAUUGGUUGCGAAGCUGCCCAAUUUACUUGAAAGUCCAUAAGGAUGGUAAAAGUCAACAAAUUUGACUAUGUUUCAGGUAAAGUCCAUGAUCUGACUCUAUUAAGUUCCUAUUUGGAGAUUCUUAUUACAUGAUGUGACUAGGUCACAUUUUGAUGUUUUGUAGAAUCGAAGAAAAGAAGCUUAAAGGAAGAGUAAGCUAAUUCUGAUCGUGAAGAGAUGGAUUUCAAUCGCAUGAUUUGAAGAUCAGAAUUUUGAGCUGUUAUUUAAGAGUUAUGAAAUAUUUCUUAGGAAUAGACAACAACAUGUUUUUCAUAUGCAUUUGCAUUUUAAGGAUAAGCUUUUUCCGUAAGUUUUAAAUAAAUGAAAGGUUUUGAUUUUAUUUAUUUUAAAUUUCCUUACAAUGGCAUUUGUAAAAAAAUUGUUUAUAUGAUUCCGUUGAUAGCAAUAUUGGAAAAUGGAUUUGAUUAUUUCAUUCGUGGUAGUGUCAUAAUUUACCAAAUAAGGAAAGAUUUUCAUUACCCAAGUUUCAGUUGGAUAGAAACUUGGAAUCAUGCAACUUGUAUUAUAUGUUGAAUGAUAAUUUUCAUAUUUGGGAAAUUAACACUAAUUCCUUGUUCACAUGUAUAUGUGAGUCAAGUAAAGGACUAGGAGAUCAGGUACACUUGGUUGUAUGCUGAUCAGGUCCACCACAAAGAUAGAUAAGACUAUUCUUCAUGAUUCACUAAAGUUUAGUGAAUAUGGUUAUACUUACAAGUUUAAGUAUAAUUCUGAAACAUUGGAAAAGUUUCAAAAUAUAGCAGAACGAAUGAGAAGAAUCAAAUUUUGUAGAAAGAUAAAAGCUUCUCAAAUCUGAAAAGCUGGGAGAGUACUUUAUUAUCAUGUUUUAUGAUUAUCUUAGUGAUUAAGAUACCCGAUGCGUGCAAUAAGCUACACCUAAUUUUAUAUUUAUAACUUAACUAACUCAACUAACUAAAUUGCACCUAGGCAGUGUUCCUAGUCAAAUUGUAGAAUAAUUUGGGUAAGUCGGGUGUCGAUCACAGAGAAUGGAUUUGACUAAUUUAUUUAUCUACUACUAAAUUAACCUAAUUAUUAAAAAAGAAAAGGGUUUUAUCUAAUUUUGCAAAUUUAGAUGAACUUACUUCUUUAACACAAACUCAAUCAAUAAACAAAACACUUAUGUUAGUUCGAAUCCACUUUCACUCAAUGGAUAUACAUUAACUAUGACAAUUACUAUUGGUUACCAAUUAAUAAAGUAUUAGCAAUUUAGUUCUAAAUCUACUAACAUUAAUCAAUUCAUGUAAAUCUAUGUAUGGUCACACAAUAGUUAACACAUAAUCAAUUAUUAAAUGGGAUUGGAGCUAUGUAAGAUUGAUUUGAUAAACACACAUUAUGGUCAUAAUCAUGAAUUCUCUAGCACAAUUUAAUUUUAAUAAUUUAAUUGCUUAACUAAGAUUGGUUUGAUCUUAGCUCUAAUAAACUAGUGUUCACUGAGUUAUUAGGUAUUCAAAUUCAUGCAGAUUUGUAUUCACUAACUACACAGAACAAGAAUUUUAAGCAAUUAAUUAUGAAACAACAUACUAGGUAAAAUCAAUCCAACACAAGCAUAUUACCAAUGAGUAAAGUCAAAUCUAAUGCAUUAAAACCAUGAGUUCCAACUUCAUCUAGCUAACAGAAGCAGCUAGAUUUAGCUAGACAUUCUAACAACUAAACAAACAAAAACCAUAAUCAAAUACAUGUUUAAAUGUACCAAUCUAUAACUCAAAUUAUGAACUUCUUCUUCCUUGGUGUUGAAAACCAAUUCCAAACUCUUCCUUCUUCUGAAAGUCGUCUCCAGGAAUCCUCCAAGGUGGCUAAAAGUCUUUAACAUCGUAAUGAUCAAGCGUUUAUAUAAUUUUCCCGAAAGUUGUGAUUCAUGUCGUGAUAGGAUGCUUCACGUCAUGAUUUAAGAGAUAUCCUUAUCGAGCACGGAUUCUUACUUCGCACGUAUUUAUCUUCUGGAAGAUUCAAGGCCACAUCAUGAUCUUGUGGUCCACGUCGUGAUUAGAGUUAAAUUCGUGGAUUUCUAAUUCUUUCAUUCUCCAAGUCUCCAAAGUUCCAUGUUUUGUCAUUUUUGGUUCCUUUCUUCGAAAAUGCUUUUAGUUGGCUGCAAAAUAAUAACUUCAGCUUAUAAGUACUAAUAUUCUAUGCAAAAAACCAAAUUAUUAGUAAAAAUGUAAAUCAAUAUUGGCUAAAAAUAUGUAUAAAUAUGGCAAUAUCAAUACCAUAUCACAAUUGAUCCUCUAAGGACAUCUUAGUGCUUUUGUUUGACUAAGAAGAGGAAUCGUGAAUUGUUGAAAUGGUUGAAUCAAAAGAUAAAUCAUACUUCGUUCCAAAAACAAGUCUUAAAGUCUUACUCCAAGAUUGCAACUUGAGUGACAUAAUCUUUAGAAGGUUUAUAACACUUGUUAAAUGUAGAGUAAAAUGUUUUUUUUACUCUUGUACAUUUGAAAUUGGUAAGUUGUGAUGUUUUUGGAUAAAACAAAGACCAACUAAGGCCAAUUGUGUGAAGUGUUUGUCUUGAUAAGAAUCUGCACUAACUCUUGAAUAUUUGUUUUGUCAAGGAAUGGUUCUUGACAAGAGAAUCUUAUAUGUCAAGAGGUCAGCGGGAUUCUUAAAGAUCUUGAAAAGUUUCAAGAACUAAUCAAGAAUAAAACCUCUUGUUUAUCACUAGCACACGACUUGAGGUUGAUAGCCUAUCGUGUUGACAUACUCUUGUUUCUGUGCCCAUACCAGUUAAAGUUGACUAUGCAUGUGAUUUCUAUGAGUUCUCAGUUGUUUGCAUAACUACUUGGAAGCAAUGGUAGCCUCUUGUGCUGCCAGGUGGCAAGAAGUUAAGGUUGAGCAAGUUUAGUCCAUAUGAGUUUGGAUUUGUCACUAACCUUGUCUUGUGAUUAUGGUUAUGACAAACUCACAUGGAUAAGAACACAUACACCAUAAAAUCUAAGUGUCAUAAGGUUUAUCUCCGAUUCAUUAAAAUGAUGGUGAGGAAACGCUUUUGCUAAAUAGAUUUUAAGUAAAUAGCAAUUAUGAAAUUUGCAUUCUCAAAGUCAUUAAUGGAGCCUGUGUGGUUAACCGGCACACUAACAUGGACUUGUGAGAAAUGGCAAAGGUCUACACAAUUGAGGCUAUGAUUAAAGCAUCCCUUUUCAUAGUUCUAAAAUUUGUUUAAACACACAUAUGAGCUUUCUAAGGAAAUGUGUAUUAUUUUGAUAAAGUCUUAUCGAAGCAUCUCGUAUCAGAAAUCUGAACUUUGAUAAGAAAGUCAAUAAAGUAUUGAUUUCUAGAAGUCCAGCUGAUUUCUGGAUACAUGUCAAAGCUAGUGGGAGCAUAAUUGUUAUGCUAAUAAUUAUCAUGUUAGUGGGAGCAUUAUACUUAUGAUAAGUGUUGCAAGGUAGCAAUGUUAUUUUUAGAAAACAAAAGUCUCAAUUGGGAAAAGUUGUUUUGCUAUAAUUAUGGGAGAGGAAAUUUUACUUCAUUUCAAUUCUAAAAGCUUAGAUUGAGAUUUUAAUCAUCUUUAGUCAAGGAUAUAUAUAUAUAUAUAUAUAUAUAUAUAUAUAUANNNNNNNNNNNNNNNNNNNNNNNNNNNNNNNNNNNNNNNNNNNNNNNNNNNNNNNNNNNNNNNNNNNNNNNNNNNNNNNNNNNNNNNNNNNNNNNNNNNNNNNNNNNNNNNNNNNNNNNNNNNNNNNNNNNNNNNNNNNNNNNNNNNNNNNNNNNNNNNNNNNNNNNNNNNNNNNNNNNNNNNNNNNNNNNNNNNNNNNNNNNNNNNNNNNNNNNNNNNNNNNNNNNNNNNNNNNNNNNNUAUAUAUAUAUAUAUGAAUUUUAUGUUGGAAUGGUUCAACAUAAGUAAGUUUUGUAUAUAUUUCGUUCUCAAAAUUCGAUUAUGAUUACGUCAUCCCUCUUCACAGUAUAAUUAUGAAAACAUGGCAAAUAAAAAAUAUUGUAGCAAAAGACUGGUCUAGGAUCAUGUCUUUAUGUGAGACAUCAUGAAUCAUGUCCCAUAUGCUUCAGAUAUAGGAUCGAUUACAUGUGUUAUAAUAUUUAGAUAAAAUUGCAAGAAUGGUUCCUGUGGUUAGGUCGAAAUUGCCACUUUAGGUUAAACAGGUUUGGACUAGCACUCAUGGUCCAAAGAUUUUCGUUUUCUUGUCACUUUGGUCCAAUUUACUUUAAAUUUUUUAAUAAUGACCAUUUUACCUUUUUUUUUUUUACUUUUUCAGUUUUUUUUAUUUAUUCAAAUACUUUUAUAAUUAAAAGAAAAAUAAAAAAUAAAAUCUAUUUCUCUCUCUCUCUCUCUCUCUCUAUAUAUAUAUAUANNNNNNNNNNNNNNNNNUUACGACAUAUAUAUAUAUAUAUAUAUAUCUCACUCACAAAAUGGAAACUUUUGUUUUAAUACCAAGAACUCAAUCCACCACCAUCAUCUUCUUUAAAACCCAACUCCACCAUUUUCCUUUCUCACCCAUCGAUCCUCUCCCCUAGUCCAAACAUCUCCAUCGAGCUCCACCAUCAAUGAGACUAGAGUGCUGGUAAAAACAGAUCGGUGGUUUGAUUACCACCAACAUCUUCGACCUCAGAUACACCGGAAAAUCUAAGUUUUAAGCCCGUUUUUGUGUUAUGGUUUUUAUCGAUCUUUUAUGUCGGCUUCCCUCCGGCUCAAAUCUUCAAUACAUUGUGUGUGUGUGUUUUCUCUAGUGUUUCUGACUCUCCAAUUCAAAUCUUUAAAAUUAGUACCAGCUCUAUACGGGUACUGUUCAUUGUCUUCUUCACCUGCUCGUCUCCUUUUCUAAUCAGUAUAUUCUGCUUCGUGGAAAUGGGUUUAUUGGCUUACCGAAAUAGAGGAUGGAAAAUAUGAUUUUUGCACAGAUCUGGGAUGUUCAUGGCGGCUAGGGUUUCUUGGUGGUGAUGCAUCGUGUGUGCUCGGUCUUGCUUUAACAUCUGAUUUUUGUAUCUAGUUUUGAAAAGUGAUUUUUGAAUGUUCUUGGAUAGAUUAGUACUUUUGUAAUAUGAUUUUGAAUGCUUUGUGUGCUUUAAAAUCGAUGAACAUUCAAAGAUAGAUUGUUGAUUUCUAAUUUGAUUUUGGUUAUCAGUGUUUAAUAAUUGAUGAUUCAUAGCUGAUCAACUUUUAUUUUACUAGAAGAUAAAACAAGAAACAAAAAUGAUUUCUAAUUUUUAUUCUUUUAUAAUGGUGGUGUUGACAGGAGGGGGUGAUGGUAGUUGCAGGUGGUGGUUCUGGAAAGAAUAGUGUAGGGUGGUGAUUUAGAUGCUCGGAGUAGAUACAGAGAGCUUCAGGUUCUAAUGGAGAGACAGGGAGGAGUGAGAGAGAGAAAGCGAGAGAAAAAGAGAGAGAGAGAGAGAGAGAGUGUGUGUGUGUGUGUGAGAGAGAGAGAGAGAGAAAGAGGGAGGGACAGAGAGAGAGAGAGAGAUAUAUUUUCUUUUUUAUUUUUCUUUUAGUUGUAAAAGUAUUUGACUAAAUAAAAAAAACUUAAAAAGUAAAAACAAAGGGCAAAUUGGUCAUUAUUAAAAAAAUUAAAGUAAAUUGGACCAAAAUGGCAAGAAAAUGAAAACCUUUGGGCCUUAAGUGCUAGUCCAAACCUAUUUGGCCCAAAUUGGCAAUUUCGACCUAACCAUAGGGACCAUCCUUGCAAUUUUGUCUAGUAUUUAUCCUUUAUAAAUUUUCCAAAUGCCUAGGGCAUUAAGAGGGGAAAAGGCGUAGAAUUGGAUAUGACUAAAAUGAUAAAGCAAUUGUCGAGGACAAUCUGAGGUUUACCAAAGAUUGGUUGCUCAUAGACAGUUGGAAGUAUGGUGUAAAGUUUUGGAAAUUACCAUAUUGACAUAUUCUGAAAGGAGGUAACUCUUAUUCAUAAGUGAUAGUCAGAAUGGAAAUAUGGAAAUGUUUCAUAGGUGGAAUUUAUUCAUUAAAUUUGUGUAAGAUUAGAAAACUUAAUGCAAGAAGGAUGUUCAAAGGAAUGUACUUUAAAUUUGAGACUUCGUUUCCGUGGAAUUGAUCUCCAUUGGAAUACUCUGUAAUGUCUAUUGACAAGUAUUUAUGACUUUUUGCAUAGUCAUUACAAGAGGAUCAAUGCAUAUAAGUUUAGAAUCUAACAGAUUUCGGUAAAUGACAUGAAUUUGGAAUUCUUACAUUUACGAUAAGAAUUUGGGAUUGUGAAAUGAGAAUCAUUGGAAUUAUUUUCAGUUGAUCUAUUCCACAAAGUAAGGAUCAUAGACAAACAUAGUGUGCAUACUUGGAGUAUGGCAUAGCUAUUGUUUUGGAAUUAAUUAAAUAGUUUUAAUUAAUUAAAGAGCUUACAUAUUAAUUAAUUCCUAGAGGGGUACUAAUUUGGAUCAUCCAUUCAUUGCAAAUUUCUUGCAGUCACAAGGUCUCAAUCGAAGAACUAAGAGGUUAGUAAUCUUCAUUUUAGUUAGUUUUUAUAGUUCUGUGCUAUAACUAGUAAACCCAGAUCUAAGGUGUAUGUACACCUAGAUAAAUUUAUGUUUGUUUCCACUGCCAUGAUUAAGUGUAUUAAUGCUAAUAAAGCUCAAAGUGGUACAAGAGCUUAUUAGGUUUUAGUUAUCGGCACAACUUGGUAAAAACCAGAACUUGGAAAUAUGAAAUUCCGACGUACACGGCGCGUUCCCGGUGGACGUGAACUUGCUCUCAAUCUAUGCACGGUAGAUAUGCGAAUUUAAGUUGAUAUAUAGAUUAUUGGGCUACAUUAUAACGUUUAAGUUUCAAAUUCGUAACAUAUUCGAAGAUAUACAUGUUCCUUAAUAUGAAGCAAAAGAAAAAUACAUUUUAUAGAUCAAAAUGUCAAUAUGCAAAAAUUCUAUUGACAGAAAAACCAUUUGCAUCAUCUUUCAUGUGUUGUAUUUUCAUGCUGUUUAUUUACCUUCUUGCAUAAAUUUUGUGCACAUAAUUGCAUUAAAUUCUUUAGUACUUUACACGCCUAUCAGUUUCUUUUUGGUUUUGUCUCUUUGUAAUGCCGAUAUACUUCUUGAUUUGUCCAUGUUGAUUGCAACGUUUUAAAAACUGGUUUUUUAGUUGAAUCUGUAUGGCUGUCGGGUCAAUCGGGUUUUAUAAUUUUCAUCUUUUUUUUCUUAUUUUUCUACACAUACAUACAUACAUAAAUCAUAAAUUUGACGUCUACAAGUUCAAAUAUUAAAAAUACACAUAAAAAUAAAUUGUAGAUCAAUCUAAAUACAUUAAAACAACACAUAACUAUAAGUUAUACAUUAAUUCACAUAAGUCAAAAAGAAAAUAAAGUAUAAUACCGAAACAAAAUAUAGUUGAAGAUGAAUACAAGUGCAUCAAAAAACAACAUAACAUUUACCAUAUGUUUUUAUUUAUAGAAAUCUAAAUCUAUGUGAAAAAAUCCACCAAAGUUUAUUAUUGAAAAUGAUUUCUUUUUCAUGUAUUUUUAUUUAGUUUAACCGGUUCAACCGGUUUUUUCUAAAAACGGUCGGUUCAAUCCCGUUCAGAAAUUUGUGUAAAAACGGUGAUAAUUGAACCGUUUUCUUCCGCGGUUCUUGGUAUUCAAAUCGAUUUUUAAAACACUAGCUGAUUGUAUUUAGUUUUUGAAAAUUUUGUCUCAUGUUUAUUUGUUUCUUAGGAAGGUCAUAGCUUUGGAUUUCAUUGAAAGUGUGGUGAAAAAGGUAUGCAAAAGCUUCACUCUAGAAGAUUGCAUUUGUUACCUGGUACGACAAGACCCGAUUAUGGAAAUUUUCUAUGAUGAGGAUGAGGAAGACAUUUUUGUCUUUUUCACAGAUGAGAGAUGAGAGAUUGAGAGCGAGUUCAUGUCCCACCUUUUUAGUUGGGACAAAAAGUUGUAGUUUUUGUCCAUUGACAUGAAAAAUAGAGAUGAGAGAUUGAGAGCGAGUUCAUGUCCCACCUUUCUAGUUGGGACAAAAAGUUGUCAUUGACACGAAAAAUAUUGUACAAUUUGUCAUGUCAUAUGUAAUAAUGUCAUGUGUAACAAACAUGCUAAGAAAAGUUAUAUAUAUUUUUUUCUAUGGUUGUUCUUAUUAUUUUCAUUGCUUAUUCUUGCAUAAUGAGAGCAUCAACGGACACCAUAAAAAUGUUAACAUAAAAAUGUUAAAUUUAUGUGUGUUGAUGUUACUUUGCUGGACCUAAACUUUUUGGAUGAAUCAAUCGAUUUGAUUAAUCGAUUUUCUCUAAGUGGCUCUUGAUGUAUCUUUCUGACAAAGAGGUGAACCUUGACUUAAUUUAUAAAUAUUUCAUAAACAAGUUUAGCAUUUAAGCAAAUCUUGAUUUGAUUCACAAGCCAAAAGAUCAAAAUCCCAUUAAAUAAUUGGAACCAUCUAGAUAAAAGAUGUUUAAAAGAUAUUUGGAAAAAUGAUAAUAUACUUGAGAAAAACAAAAGGUAAAAAUAAAUAAUUGUAAUUUUGUAAAAAUUCAGGAUUCCUUGACUUUCUCUAUUAAGUCGUUCUUUCUGCAUUAAGAUAAAAGGAAACACCUAUAUUCUGGUUUCUUUUUUAUGUUUCCAUUUAUUGCUAGAAAUGAAUUCAAAAAGUAAUUUUUUUUGGUUACAGGUUGAAUAUAUUGUUGAAAUACUAUUAAAAUGGGUGAAAGUUCCGGGACAUAUUUUCUUUAAAGACUCAUGCUUUCACCCAUUUGGAGACCAUAAAGAAAAAGAGCAACCCUACACAUUAUCGUGAAAAUAGAUUUUACACCAAGGUACAAAUAUAUUGAUCACAAUUUAUGAAUUGAUAUGUUGAUAAAUUCUAAAACAUUGGUCUAAAUGGAAGAAAUAGGAACCUAUCUUCUUUCAGUUGUGUUCGAACAUGUCCAUAUUAUUAAUCAAUAUUAUUUUAUAACUUUAAUUUUAUUUUUAAAUUUCUUAUUUUCUUUUGUUUUGACUUUGUUAACUAAAUCUUUAGUAUGAUUAUAAUAAGACUUGUUACUCGAGACACAUCCAAAACAGAGUAAAAACUCUAGAAUUUUUAUUCCAUAAUAAAAAAGAUAUAUCAAAACCCUAUAUAUAAGUGUUAUAAGAUAAUUUUAUCCUAAAUUAAAAGAUACUAAUAGAUAUUCUAAUUUUAAAUAUAGAUAGCUACUACCUAAUUUGAAUAAAGGUAUCCCCCAUAGUUGACCCAUCAGUUUUUCAAAGUUGCUGACAUAGUUUUUGGUUGUCCCUUCUUAAUGGAUAGCUAGGAAUUAAUCAUACAGGCUCGAACGAUAGAUGGAACCGAUAAUAACACUUUACUUUCAUUUACUUACCUAUAUAUUUCUCAACCACACUUAGGGAUUUUGGUCACAAAUUUGGCACUAAUUAUGGCCUUAGGUAAAACAACCAAUUGGUUAUAGUACCUUAAUUUCCAUUUAUUGGAGAUUGAAUAACAAUUAUAUCAAUUAAAAUUCAAAUUACUUUUAUUUGAUUAAUUAUCAUAACUUACUACCUUUAUCUAGUUCUUUAUUAUUGCAUCCUACUUUCAUUGAAAUAUUUAUUAGAGCAGUCUACUUUCAUUUAAUCGUUUAUCAUUAGAAGAAACUUUGAUUACUGUAACAACUAAGAAUGUGAAAGUAGAACGUUGUAAUAAGAAGAAGCCCCAAAGCUCCAUCUUUCAUUAUUUAUUUUAUGUAAGUUUCAAAUAUUCAUUUUUUUUUAUAAUUUAUUGAUUGUUUUUAGAAAUCAUGUUUUAGUUAUAGUCAAGAAAUGCCCAAGAGCCCCAAAGCUCCAUCUUUCAUUAUUAUUUAUAUUUAAUAUUUAAUGAAAUGUCUAAUCGUGACUACAUUAUUAGCCUAAGGUCUCGUUUGAUACGCAUCUUUCCAGGUCCAAACAGAUCUUUCUGGCUGAAUGGAUCGGAAAGACAGUUUGAUUUACACAAAAAAAGGGUCUUUCCCAGUAAGAUAUGUAUUUCCUAAAAGCCCCAAAAUCAUAUAUUUCUGGUUGAAUAAGUUGAGAAGACAAUUAUGCACUAAACCUCGCCUCUUUCUUUCUUUAUUGGAUUAUAAAUUUUUAUAAAUAACUUUUUUUAAAUUUAUUUUUUAUUUUUUAUUACAUUUUUUCAUCAUUCAACACAGUCAAUCAAAUGUAUAAUCAAACAACAUUGUUUCUUUCUCGGUCAGAAAAGUUUCAGCACUUACCAGACAAUAUUUUCCCAGACAAAAACUAUCAAACGGGACCUAACAUCACAAUUCUAGUCGGAAUGUCUUUUUGGUUUACUUGAUUAAUUAAUAAGGUGUACAUAGGGAUGUAAACGAGCCAAACGAAUACGAACGGAAGUUAUUCAUGUUUGUUUGUUCAAGUUUAAUUGAAGUAACAAACGAACUCAAACAAUAAAAAAAAUAUUUUCUUCUUUAUGUUUGUUUGUUUAAAAAUUAUAUUGUUUGUGUCUAUGUGUGUUUGGUUAUUAAGAUGUCAAACAAACAAACAUAUAUAACAUAAAUGCUCAAAUGUGUAACUGUACAUAAUUAAGAGAAUUAUACGUAAAUGCUAUAAUACAAAAAAGUAUCAAAAAUCAAGAAAAGACCUCAAAUAUAAAGAUGAAAUAUGAUUUUAGUCCAUCUAUAUUCCCAAACAAAAGUAAAUGAAUGUUUACAAAGAAACAUAAACGAACACUCAUGAACAUAAUUAAACGAACGGAAUCAUUGUUUAUGUUUAUUUAUUUAACUAAACAAAUAGAUAAACAUGGUUAUGACGGACGUUUUGUCAAACAGCUCAUUAAAUGUUUGGUUCAUUUACAGUCCUAGGUGUAGAGACAAAAGCUUGUAAGACUUUUAAAGUUUCUUAUCAUACAUGCUUAUAAAGCUAGCAUUUUUUCUUGAAUCUCAUACAUUUGAAACCCUCACUCUUUUUUCCUUUCACCACAUUCAUUUGAAACUCUCAUGACUUUUCAAUUUCUUUAUAAUAAUAAUAAUAAUUAUUAUAAUUUGGUAAUUAGGUUAAAUAAAUAUCAAACCUAAAGUGUAAUCAUAUAUAAACUAAAUUUCAAUAUUAAAAUAAUAUAUUUACUUCUACUUAUAAAAUUAUGCUUUUUGUUAAAAUAAUAUAUUUAAUUCUACUUAUAAAUGAUGCAUUUUUCCUUUCACCACAUUCAUUUGAAACUCACAUGCAUUUUUCCUUUCACCGCAUGCAUUUGAAAUUUCCUUGACUUUUCAAUUUUUUCUAAUAAUAAAUAUAAGUUGGUUAAUAAGGUUAAUAAAUAUCAAACCUAAAGUGUAAUCAUAUAUAAAUUAAAUUUCAAUACUAAAAUAAUAUCUUUACUUCUACUUAUAAAGUUAUGUUUUUUUAACUUUUAACAUAUUAUAGUUAAUUUAUUAGUUUUAAUAUAUUGUUGGAUAUAAAUCAUUAUCAUUUUAAAGAUACAAUUUUGGAGCAAUUUGUAAAAUAUACUUACAUUAUUAAUUUAAAUAUAAUAUUAUAGGGUCAACUUAAAUAUAAAUUUUAGUUUAACUUAAACAACCCAAAAAAUAUUUUGUAAAUAGUUAAAAAUGAUAAAUUGUAGUGUCUUUCUAAUAAUGGUUAUAAGUUGGUUAUUAAUGUUAAAUAAAUAUCAAACCUAAAGUGUAAUCAUAAAUAAACUAAUUUCAACUUUAAAAUAAUAUCUUUACUUAUACUUAUAAACUUAUGUCUUUAAGUUUUAACAUAUUAUACUUAAUUUAAUAGAUUUAAAAUGUUGUUAUAUGUAAACCAUUAUCAGUUUAAAGCUACAACUUUUGAACAGUUUUGACAAAAUACUAAAAUUGUUAAUUUAAAUAUAAAAUUACAGUGUCAACUUAAAAUUAAUUCAGUUCCACUUAAAAAAAUAAAGAAUAUUUUGUAAAUAGUUAAAAGUGAUAAAUUGUAGUGAUAAAUGCAAAAACUAAAUUGUAAUAUCAAUUUAACUAAAAUAUUUCCUUAAGAUAUUUUUAUAAUCGUGAAAAUUUUUCAAAUAAGUAUCUUAAAAUAUUUUAGAGUAAAAAUAGUUAAAAAUAAAUCUAUAUAAAUAAUUAUAUUGUUACCUUUAAAAUAAAAAAAACAAUGUUUGAUAUUUUAACAAGUUAUAAUGAUAAAAAUUAAAACAUUAAGCAAAUAAAUUUUAAAAGUUAAUUAUUAAUAACAACAACUAUAAAUAACAUUAAACUAUAUAUUAUAUUUAAAUUUAUUCAUGAGUAACUUACUGAUAAAAGUCAUUCAAAUGAUUGGGAUUAUGCAAUUAUAAUAGAUUUAUAUAUUAUCAUAUAAUUCAAAAUAAUCUAUAUAUUAUAUCAAUUUAGUAUACAAAUUAUUAUAUCAAAUUUAACAAUAACGUUAUUGUUAUAUUUUAAAAAAAUAAAAAACAUAUAUUUUAGAGACUUCAACCAUAUAGGUGUUUCUGCGCAACGCGCGGGCAUUCGCCUAGUUUUAUUUAAUGUGGGACGAAGUCCUACAAGACAACAAAUCAAGAUAUGUCUCGAUGCAAGAGGUAGUUUGGAGUCUAUACACCACAAAAUAAUAGAAUUAGACAUUGCCACUUAAAGAAUGGAAACAUAUUGGUUGAUAACAACCUCAAGGAAUGGUCUCAGGUAUACGACUUUCAAGAAAAAAUCGUUGUUGAUAAACGUGAGAGUUAUGUCAUUAUUGAGACUAUUAACAUGUAUGGGUAAUUGGAUCAACUAUAUGUAUCUUCGGGAACCCUUACAAAGGAGUCCUACGUGUACUCCGUUGGUGUGGUUUUAUAUGAGAUGGUAUUCCCAAGGUCAUGUUAUGUUAAGGACAUUGUAAAUAAUAACGAUCAGUAUCUUGUAGACAAAUUAAGUAGGAAGCUAAUCCGAAAAAGAAAAUUAAAAGACGUUAUUGACGAUAUAUUACAAAGACAAAAGGACUCGAAUUCUUUCAAUAUGUUUGCAAGGAUUACAUAUUAGUGGCUUAGUGCGUGCACAUGCAAUGGAAACAACGACCCUCAAUGGUUUUGGUCAUAAAAGAAUUGAAGAAUCUUUGGAAGCUUAUCUUUCCGAUAGUGGUUCCUUUGUGGUAAUAUAUGGUAAACGACUAGAAAGAACCUGUACAACUCUUGUACAACUCUCAGCUAACUUGUCUCUACAAAUUUGAUUAAAUGGUCUAGGAACUUACGAAAGCAUGCAACGAAAGAAGCAGAACUGCAUGUAUGCUAAAUAUUUGUUGAACUCAAAGAAUUAUGACAAGUAUUUAGUAAUAUUGAAAUGAAAUUGAUAAAUCAUUACAAGUUUAUUAAAUGUUUUUAACCAUUCAUUUUAAGUUUAAUUCGACAAGUUUUAGCAUACCUACGGUUUUGUUUCUCUCGUUGUUCCGGUUCAAACAAAUUUGUAGAGAAAUGUUAGCAGAAAGUUGUACAAGUUCUUCUAGGUAUUUACCAUAUGUAGACACAACAGAACCACUUCAGGAAAGCUCAACUUUCUUGCAAUUCAAAAAAAUUUAUUUAUUUCUUUUAUGAUCGAAACCAUUGAGGGUCGUAGUUUCAAUUGCAUCUACCUAGCUGCAUGCAUCGAUAUGCAAUCCUCGCAAAUGUAUUGAAAGAAUUUGAGUCCAUUUAACUUUGUAAUGUAUCGUCAAUAAUGUCUUUUAAUUUUACCUUUUCAGAGUAGCUUCCGACUUUAUCCACAAGAUACUGAUCGUUAUUACUUACGCUGUCCUUAUUAUAACAUGGUUGUGCGCUUAACAUGUCAUAUAAAACCACACCAAUGGAGUAAACAUCUGACUCCUUUGUGAGGUUACCGAAAGACACAUAUAGCAGAUCCAAAUACUAAUAAGUUCCACUAGUCUCGGUAAUGAUAGAACUCUCAUGUAAGGAUGGAAAUUUGGCCCGACCCGGUGGGGAACCCGGUUGACCCGCCCCGAUUGGGGAUGGGUAUUUCCCGUAAAAACGGGUCUCGGGUAUGGGGCCGAGGAUCCCCGUUAGACUAAAACCAGGGAAGGGGUCGGGUUUGAUAUAUCAAUCCCCAACCCGCACUGCUCCCGCUNUAUAUAUAUAUAUAUAUAUAUAAUUGAUUAUAAAGUAGCCCAUAAUUUCAUUCGUCAGAGUGUUACGAUUCAUAGUCCAUAUAGAGUCCAUUAUUGAUAAGUAAUUGCCCAUUCUAAUUGAUGUUCUAAUCCUAAAUUCCCAACUCCAAUUUGGCUGCUAUUUCACCUCGUUUCUCGUUUUCUGCCUCCGUCUCACUCUUGUCGUUGUGCAUCCCUAUCAGCGACUCCCAAGUAGGUAUGCUUUCUGUGUUUCUUUUGAACAAUUGUGAUUAUUAUUGUGGUAUUUUCUUGUGAUUAUUAUGAUUAAUAUUUAAUGCACGACUUCAUCAAAUUCUCGUGAUUAUUUCGAAUAAUUAUUCAAACCUACUAGGCUACUGUCAAUAUUGAGACAUAAAAUAUCACAUUAUUGGAACAAAAAUUGAAAAAUGUCAUUAUCCCAUAUAAAUUCUUGUUUACUUCUCUAUCUUCAUUUAAUCAUUCAUGAAUGUGGUUAACUAACUAGUUAUAGAAUACCUUUUUUUAUAUAUAACAAAGAGUUAUUUAGAAUGUAUUUUUUUGUUUGAAUAUUUAUUGAAUAUGGUUAUAGAAUACAUAAUGACAACAGACCAAUCAAACAAUUAUUUUUUGUUUGAUAAAGUGAUGCACUAAUACGAAUUGUGUUUUACUUUUUUUUUUUUGUAGUUAUAGAUGGCUACUUCAGAAAAUGAUAAACAACCAGCCAUGAAUGAUGAACAUGAAGAUGAUAAUGAAUCGGGACAUGUAGAAAAUGAUACGGCUACUGAGCAUCCAAAUAAAAGGUUGAAAUCCGCUGCUUGGAGCCAUUCUAUUCCCAUUUAUAUUGAUGGUGUUCGCAGAUGGGCGAAGUGCAAAUACUGCAAAAAACAGUUGACUGGUAGAUCUAAUGAUGGAACAACACAUUUGAAAGAUCAUUACAGGAUAUGCCUUAGGAAAAAUACAAGGGACAUUAGACAACAUAUAUUAGUUCAAGGGCAAAAAACUAUUGAUGGUAAAGCUUAUAUGAGUAAGUAUUCCUUUGAUGCUGAAGUAUCUAGAGAUGAACUAGCAAAGAUGAUUAUAAUUCAUGAUUAUCUGCUCUCCAUUGUUGAGCAUUAUGAUUUUCGAAAGUAUACUGAAAAUCUUCAACCUUUAUUUAAGGUGCCUUGUCGUAAUACAGUCAAGGGCGAUAUAAUGAAGGUAUACUAGGAUAAAAAAAUCAUAUCUUGAAAUGUUUUGAAGAGAAUGAUAGUAGGAUUGCUCUCACGUCUGAUAUGUGGACUGCAAGUAACCAAAAAAAAAAGGUUACAUGGCAAUCACAGCACAUUAUAUAGAUGGCAACCGGAAGUUACAAAAUCAAAUUAUGAGGUAUUUACUCUAAUUAAUGUUAUUAUUUGUAAUUUCUAUUGGAUGAAGUUUUGAAAUGUUAUAUUUUGUUUAAUGCAACUUUAUACAUGUGUCAUCUCCACACACUACUGAUGCAUUAUCACAAGCUAUGAUGGAAUGUUUCUUGGAGUGAACAUUGACAACAAGUAGUCAACAUUAACACUUGACAAUUGUUCAGCAAAUGAUGCCAUCGUCGAAAAGCUUCUAGGUACGCUUACUUCUUUGUCGCUAAUUUUGAAAGGGAGAAUAUUUCAUAUGCGAUGUUGUGCACACAUAAUUAAUCUUAUUGUACAAGAUGGAUUUUCUGUGAUUGCCAAUGCAAUUGAGAAUGUUAGGAAUAGUGUCUCCUUUUGGACAAGUUCUCCUAAAAGAAUACAAGAUUUUAGACUUUUGCUCGGCAAGUAGGUGUUAAUUGCCAAAAGGAGUUACUUCUUGAUUGAAAAACAAGGUGGAAUUCCAUUUAUAUGAUGUUGAGUGUUGCUUUGGAGUAUAGAGAAGUUUUUAAUCGUUUGAGCAAAAAAGAUAAACAUUAUGUUUGCUUGCCUAGUGAAGAUGAAUGGAAUAUGGCAUCGAAUGUUUGUGAAAAAUUGAAAUUGUUCUAUCAAGUGACUGAAAAAUUUUCUGGUACCAAAUAUCCCACGUCAAACAUUUCUUCCCUUUGAUUUGUGAUAUGAAACUAUCAUUGUUGAGUUGGAAAGUAUCUCAUAAUAGUGUUAUUAAGUCUAUGGCAUCAACUAUGUUGAUCAAAUUUGAGAAGUAUUGGGAUGUAAAUACAUAAUGUUAUGAGUGUAGCAAUUGUCUUGGAUCCUAGGUAUAAGUUAAAGUUGAUCAAGUAUUUUUUUCCAAAGUUAUAUGGGGAAGAAGCAAGAAGUGAGAUUAUGCAAAUACGUAACAUAAUUACUGAAUUAUUUGAAGAGUAUAAAAAGAAACAUGAUGAUAAACGAGGAGCUUCUUGGAAACGAAAAUGUGCGACAAACGUAUCUGAGGGAGGGGUUUCUACUUUAAGCAAAUCAACAUGGGAGUUGGAUUUCGAGAAUAUGCUUUUUGAGGAUGAUGGAUUUGAAAAAACUGAGUUGGAUGAUUAUUUAGCUGAUAAGUUGUUACCGAAAGAAGAAGGUUUUGAUAUAUUAAUGUGGUGGAAGUGUAAUGGUUCCAAGUUUCCUAUAUUAUAGAAGAUUGCUAGAGAUAUCUUAUCGAUUCCAAUUUCUGCAGUUGCUUCAGAAUCAGCUUUUAGCAUGAGCGGGAAUAAGGUGACGAAAGAACGUAACCGAAUCAAACCGGAAACAGUCGGGGCAUUAAUGUGUAGCCAAAGUUGGUUACGUCUCACACCCCGAAACCGAUGGCGGAAACGUUCCGGGACGGAGGACGUCAUGUAAAGUAUCACAACCAAUGUACAUAGUCAGCAUAGUAAACACAAAUCAUUACAUUACAUAGGAAUCAUUACAUUUGUUUGAAAGCAAAGUAGUACAUAUUUUAUAAAUACAUUAGUUUGAACAAAAGUAAAGACGUGAAUUCCAUAUGCUCCGUCUUCUGCAAAAGAACGCGGGAUACCUGUCUAAGAAGAACCUGAGAAUACAAGCAGUUUUAAAAAUAUCAGCAUAAAUCUGAAAAUGAACAAGUUUCCUUUAGUUCUCUGAAAAAGUUGUUAUCCAAGAAAAUCUCAUAUUUUCUUAUAAAUAAAGUUUAGUUAUCCGAUUGUUACACAGUUUGAUUAAGAACAGUUAUGUUAUCCUAGGAAAAACCCUUAUUUUCCUUAAAAGUUGGUGGUUGGUGGUUGGUUAUCGGUUCGGAAUAUAGUGUACUAGUAUCUACCAUACCUGUAGUGUUAAGAUAAGUAUUCUGAAAACCUAAUUGUCCUUGGAAAGUACAUUAAUUUUAACACGUAUAUAUAACUAAUAAGUAAGUAGAAAAGUUUUCAUAAUCUAAAUUGCGAGUUCCAUAACCGUACAAUAGACUAGAUGAGGCUCGGAACGGGGCCAGUAUCGUUUUAUGACUUUUGUCACCCUUGGACCUUUCGGUCCGACUGUAGCUAGCAGCCAGGUGUGGGGUAGUCAAUCACGUAUAGAUCUAUGCACUCAAGUCACGUUCUCCCUCAAAUAGAUUCUGGUUACGGGGGUAGUCCUACAGUCUCGUAACUAGGGGGAGUGUUACAAGGACGUGUCUCCAAUCUUAAGAUUAAUGAAUUAAAAGAUAAUAAAACGGGAAAUUCUGUUUUAUUGGUCCUUCACUCUCGUAUCUAGGGGGAGUGUUAUCAAGGACGUGCCUAAACUUCUAAAUUUAAUGUUAUUAGUCCUUCACUCUCGUAUCUAGGGGGAGUGUUAUCAAGAACGUGCCUAAAGUUCUAAAUUUAAAGUUAUUAGUCCUUCACUCUCGUAUCUACGAGGAGUGUUAUCAAGGACAUGCCUAAAGUUCUAAGGUUCAUGCUUUUAACAAUAAUGAUAUGGAAAAUCGAUUGUGAAAUAUGUAAAAUAUAGCAUUUUAUAAUGAGUUUCACAAAUGGUUUGACAAUUUACUCUACAAGUUAAACGGUUGGUUAAUACAGUUUCUGGUGCUAAAAGCAUACGAAAUAUGAAACAUUUCAAAUGAAAUAAUAACUUUGACUACAAGAUUUCCUUGUACUUUUGCUAGUAUUACCCCUGAAAACAUUGAAAAACACGGAAAAAAGGUGUAGCGGUAUGAACUCACCAGACGAGAAAUGUGCCGGUUAGGAUGCUAAUUGUCAGUUCGGGGCUUGAAUACACUCAAGGUUCCUAUGUAAUAUGAAGAGAUACAUAAUUGCAUCUAAUUAGACUUUGAACUACUAAUUAAUUGAGAUAAUACACUCCGAGGUGCGAAAACACUUCAAUUCAAGUGUUAGGAGUGAUCCGGGUUGCAUCUAACGGUGUGUAGGGCCUAGAUAAGGAGUUUACUCUUCAAGAGUAAGCCCUUAGGGGUGUUUACGGUCCAAUGGCCAUAUCCCCAUGAGUUUACGGCCGUAAACUCAUGGGCGGUGUGUUCUUGGAUGUUUAAGGGUCUUACAAUGCACAAGGAAAGGUUCUAGGGUUGAUUCAAGGGCUAUGGAAGUGAUCGGGACUUGAUUUGACCUUGGAAAAUGGGUUUACGGUUCUUGAAGGACACUUGGCGAGUUUACUACCUUAAACACAUGAGUUUACGGCCGUAAACUCAUGUUUGUCCAUGUAUCAUGUGAUUUGGUGGUUGUAGGUUAAGCAUACAAAGUUAUAGACCCAAUUCUAAGUCCUACAAGGUGUUAAGGGCACUUAAACACCCCAUUGAAGGUGUUUACGGUUUUGGGAGACCUUCCCAAACCGUAAACUCAUUUUUAGUUCAUUUGUGUAUGUUUUGGUGCAUCUCAUGAAGGAAUAUAAGGUUCUAGGCACUCAUGGAAGCUUUUGGAGGUGUCUAAGGGGCAAUUUAACACCUUAAAAGGUGUUUAUGGAUUAUGAAGGUGUAUUUAUGGUCCUUGAAGGUGUGUUUACGGUCCAAGAAUGUUCUUGGGCCGUAUACUCAUGUUUACUACCCAAAUAACAUGAUUUUGGUGUUCUAGGCUCUUACAUGCAAGUCCAUAAGUCAUAUCUAAGCACUAGAAGGGACUUGGAAGGGUUUUGGGGCUUCAAAACCCCCUUUAAGGGAGUUCACGUUUUUGGGAGGUGUUCCCAAACUAUAAACACUUGUUCUUGAGUGUUUUGGGUGAUUUAAACCUAGAUUUGCAUGUCUAACAAGGUAAACAAGGUAAGGUAGAUUACUUACGAUUUUGGAAGCUUGAAGAGGCGUUUUUGGAUCAAACUCGAGUUUUAGAGAGAGAGUAGAGAGAGAAAGUUAUGAGGUGGGUAAAAAACUUAAAAGAAUGUCACUCAUCCUUUAUAUAAGGCUUGAUUUUGUGGCCCAUUGGAAAUCUACCCGAUACCGACGUUAAACGAGGCUUAUGGUCAUACCCGAUUUAAUUGUCGUAACCCGACUUAGUCGUAACUAUAAAUUUUCCAAUUAAAUAACGAGGGUAUUUUCACGCGUUUCUAAUGGGUUUGGACACUCAUGAGGUCACAAUAAAAGUCUUAAUUUAAAUGACCUAAUCCAAAAUGUUAACGGAAAAAAUGAAAUACAAACGGUUUUACUGACGGAAAUGGGUUACCGUGACGGAAAAACUUUCAGAUUGUCACAUUACGGAAGGAAAUUCAAGGUAAAUUUUUAAUAAAUAUAUCAAUUAUUUUAUCAUACAUGUGCAUAAAUAUUAGUUUUUCUAAUAAUAAGUUUUAUAUGUUUCAGGUAAAAAGCAAGGAGAACCAAAGGCUUUUGAUCAGACGAUUGCAUAUGAUGAGGAUGAUGUUGAGUAAUUUUUCAAGCAAACAAAUAGAACCAAAGAUUGAAAUUUCUUUUGUGAAAUCAUAUUCUCAUUUUGAUGGUUGAUAGACUUUAUGAUUGAUGUAAACACAAUCUAAUUAUGACAUCUGGUUUGGAUAUCUUACAUAAGUUGAAGUUAUUUUUUGUUUAAGUUGAUUUGAACAUAGAACAGGGAUGAACCGGGGAUGGGUCGGAGAUAAGCCCAAAAUUUAAAGGGGAUGGGUGUAAAUUCCCCGCAUCCGUUGGGGAUGAGGAUGGGGAUGGGGAUGAGGUUACGGACUCAGGGACGGGGACAAGGAUGGUAAGCCCCGCCCCAUUGUCAUCCCUACUCUCAUGUUUAACAAUAAUUGUUCUUGAAAGUCCCAUGUUUAAGAUUAUUCCAUUCAAGUUGUGAUCCACCAAAUCGUUUCCACUCUUUAUCUUGUAAUGAAAAAUUCUACUAUUUUCAAUUACAUGUUUGUUUAGAGACUCCAAACUACUUGUUGCAUCAAGACAUUUGUUUAUUCGUUGACUUGUGGGAGUCCCACAUGGAAGAAAGUAAGAAACAAUAAAACCUUAUCAGUGUGGUCUAUACACCUUAUUAGAUGUAUCAAGUAAGACAAAAAAGCAUUUAGGCUAGAAUUGUGGUGUUGGCUAAUAAUUGAGUCUUGAUUAUGCAUUUUAUUAAUUAUAAAUAAUAGUUAAAGAUACGGCUUUGGACCUUAAGGCUCUUGGGAUCUUCUUGACUAUAUACUAAAAACAUGGUCUAGCAUAUAUAUUGUUAUUUUUAACUAGCAACAACAUACUUUUUUAAGCGAAUACAACAUAUUGUUAUUUUUAACUAAAACAUUAAUUUUUAUUUUUAACAUAAAACUACAUAUUAUUCUUUAUAACCGAAAAAAACAUACUUAUAUUUUUAUUCAAACAACAUAAUUAUAUAUUUUUUUUUAAAACACUAAUAUAUUGUUAUGGGUAAUAUUUCUAGUUUUCUGUAAUUAAAUCUAAUAUCUUGAAUAUACACUAACAAGUUGAAUGCUCUAACAUUCUGAAAUAGUCAACAUCUUGGAACUGCCAUCGUAUUCUUUAUGAUUGAUCUUUUCAAGACUAAUAGCUUAUCUAAUGGAGCAUGAACACGAGGUCAAUGAGAAAAUACGUUUAGCCUCCCCAGUCAAGCAAGAAUAAGGUGAGAUUGGAAUAUUUAUGAUAGUUUUUUAUCUUAUCUUUGUAUAUAAAAACAUGUUGAUCAUUAUUCAUACACAUACACUAAGUCAUGCUUUCAACUUAUACGAUGGUAAAGAUGAAAUUUGCCGUUGUAGAAGUAGAAACAUAAAUCUUGUUGAAGAUCCGGUCAUUUCUCAUUUUCCACGCACACCAAACAAAAACUUAGAUGUAUUUCUCAAGGUUGCCUAAAGAAGUAGAAACAUAUAUGUGGGGUCGGUGCCCAACGUGAGAAGUCUAAUGGCCCAACAAGGCCCAAACCCUAAAGUCCAAAAUAUGGCCCAAACCAAGAAAGUCACCUGAAAGUUAAUGUUGUUGAGUACGCCCGGGAUACUCAGUCUUAUGGCCUGCAUUCUACGUCGGUUGCCAGUACGCACAACGUACUAGCUGCGUACGCGCAACGUACAAUGCAGUUGACAAAACUUCACCAUUAAGCACUUAAUCGGUUAAGUCACUAAGCCAAACUCUCAAAUCUGAUCCCAAACGGUGACUUAACAACUAAAGUUGGCAACUUUACUCCCAUGCAUGACUUAAUAGGACCCAAAACUCAAAAAGAACCAUAUUAAGGAUCCUAGUGCAUGAAUGGACCAGUAUAACUCAUAAAGAUUACAUUUUUAUGGUCAAGGGACCUCAAAGGUGCUAAGAUCUAACAUCCAUGGCUUCUGAAGUGGACUAUACUCAUAAAUAUGGUUUAAGGACCCAAAAACGCACAAAUGAAGCACUAAAUUGGAUCUAACAUAAGGAAUCAUUAAGUAGAGAACUUUAUACCUCAAAUAGCUUAAGAUAAUGCUGAUUAUGGAUCUAAAAGAUCAAGCCACUCUAAAGUAACCUCCAAGUGUUCUUCCUUCAUAUCAACAAACUCACUUCCAAGCUCAAACAAGCCACUCUAAAGUAACCUCUAAGUGUUCUUCUUCCUUCAAAUAAGCAAAACUCACUUCCAAACUCAAAAAUGACAAAAGGCACUUAGGGUUUCAUUCUUAGGGUUUAGGGGAGUGCAGGCUGACCAAAAGAUAUGACUAAGGCAACAUAAGUUGCUUAAAUAGGGCACAAACCCUAAAAAUUAGGGGUUGACCUUGCUUAGCGUAUGCUCCACAUAUGCCCAACAUACGUGUCCGCCUAUGCAACUAUCAGAAGAGCCAAUACACCCAACGUAGUCAUAGAGUACGCCCAACAUACUCGGCUAGGGACCAAAUUGUAAAGAAUUCACCUACGGGUUAAAAAAGAACAUACCACUAAAUCUCGAAUGUUACAUUUGGUGGCAUAUGUAGCAAGAUCAGGACACACGUUUGCAUAGUGACCAUUCUUUCGGAAAAAGCUGGCAAUAUAGUGGGCGUCUCCCACAACCAUCACCACCAGAGAAGGUAACCCUCGAGUUUCCAGAUUGGCCACAAGUGGAUGGUUGGUUGUUGCGACGAGUUUGUGUAGUGAAGGGAGCAGGUGGCGGUGAGUUGGUCACUGAAGCAAGAAAGAGUUUAUGGAUUUUAGCUUGGCCAUUAAAUCGAUCAGUGUAGGACGAGGACGGACGACUCUUUGUGUUGUAGAAAAGGUUUCAAACGAGGAACCAAGGUCACGUAAAAACCAGUGACACUUAUCAUUAUCACUGCAAGAUCGCCGAUAACACAUAAUUGGUCGCAUAUAGCUUUGAACUUGCGUCCAAAUUCUGCAACUGUGGAGGUACCUUUUUUUUAGUUGUCGAAAAAGCCCUUGAAUGGUUUGCAUGCAUUCUUGAGAACCAUAGCAAUACACACACUGAAGGGUUGUCGAAAUACCUUUGGCGGUUUGGAGACCUAUGGUCUCAUACAUAGUUUCCUCAGAAAAAGAAGAUUGCAAGGUGAGGUAAGCUUUUUGAUCAACUUCUUUCCAGGUUGAGAAGGAACGAUUGGAGGUAGAUUUUCCCUCUAAUUCGUUGGUUGCAGCUGGAGGAAGAAGGGUACCUUCGACAUGAUCAAUCAAUUUCUGAAAAGAAAGAAGUGGUAAUACAUGAUUACGCAUAAUAGAUAGUUGGUUGAGUUGAGUUUAACCAUGAGCAGAUGAAGUAUAGUGGCAAGAGGAAUAGAAGCCUUUGAUGUAGACAUGAUCGACGAGCAUGGAAGAAAAGAUCUAUAGGGGCAGAAGAAGGAGACGAGGGGGAAACAUUUAGGGUUGGACCAUAAUUAUGGUUGAUACCAUAUAAGAGUAUUUUCCCUUCAAUAUGUAUCUUGUAUAUUGAUGAAUAUNNNNNNNNNNNNNNNNNNNNNNNNNNNNNNNNNNNNNNNNNNNNNNNNNNNNNNNNNNNNNNNNNNNNNNNNNNNNNNNNNNNNNNNNNNNNNNNNNNNNNNNNNNNNNNNNNNNNNNNNNNNNNNNNNNNNNNNNNNNNNNNNNNNNNNNNNNNNNNNNNNNNNNNNNNNNNNNNNNNNNNNNNNNNNNNNNNNNNNNNNNNNNNNNNNNNNNNNNNNNNNNNNNNNNNNNNNNNNNNNNNNNNNNNNNNNNNNNNNNNNNNNNNNNNNNNNNNNNNNNNNNNNNNNNNNNNNNNNNNNNNNNNNNNNNNNNNNNNNNNNNNNNNNNNNNNNNNNNNNNNNNNNNNNNNNNNNNNNNNNNNNNNNNNNNNNNNNNNNNNNNNNNNNNNNNNNNNNNNNNNNNNNNNNNNNNNNNNNNNNNNNNNNNNNNNNNNNNNNNNNNNNNNNNNNNNNNNNNNNNNNNNNNNNNNNNNNNNNNNNNNNNNNNNNNNNNNNNNNNNNNNNNNNNNNNNNNNNNNNNNNNNNNNNNNNNNNNNNNNNNNNNNNNNNNNNNUAUAUAUAUACACACACACACACACAACAGAUAAGGUAAGAAACUAGCCUAACAUAUAUGGAGAUACAAGAAAUCUUUUCUAAUUAUUCUAAAUUAUCUCUAAUACGAAGUCAUUAAUAGGUCCACAAUGUCAUAAGAAGUACUUAAUAAAUUGAUAAUGAUAAUUGUUGAGAACGAUAUAUUAGAUAGUAUUGAUUAUAAACAGUUGAAUAACUUUGUUGCUAAGAAUGCUAAGAGAUCCUUGAUAUUCAUGUAACUAUAUAAGAUUAUUUAUGGUACUAUCAUUCAUUUGUUUUGAUUAUUUUAUACUCUUUUGUCCCAAAAUAAUUGUUCAUAGACAAAAACACACAGAUUAAGAAAUAUUAAUUACCAUUAAUUUAUUAAAUAAAAUGACAGUUUUACCCUUUUGUUGCAUUUAAUUUCAUGGUAUGUUAACUAAUAAUGAUGGGUAUUUUAGUAAAAGGGAUAUUUAUUUUUAGAAAUAGGCUAUUAUUUUGGGACAAACCAAAAAUGAAACAUAGACUAUUAAUAUGGGAUGAAGGGAGUAAUAAUUAUCAACUUAUCGUACCAUUAAUGAAUUUUGCUUACAUUGUGUACAUAGUAACCUCACCACAAAACACUCCCCUAUCCUACACUCAACUAUAUUGAAGAAAAAAGAAGAUUACACAUGAAGAACUUUUCUAUAAACAACGAAGAAGCCCUAUGACUGAGAGAGCUAGACAGCGAAAAUAGAUAUGUAGUGUGUUGUAUCUUGUUGUUAUGACUGAACAACACACACACACAAUCUAAUUUAUACAUCGGGUAGAGAUUCGGGGCAUGGACCGAAGUAAACACCGAUCAUAAGCAAUCGGGUAAAACCUGUUUGUCCUUCAACCUAGAAGUUUGUAAUAAACGAGCCGAAACCCAAAAGUUCUGAACAUAUGACGCAUUAAGUCCCUCUCAACAAUUCUCAUACAAAGGCACUCUCAAUAUAUCUAUAAACUAAACCUCCAAGAAAUACAAACUUUUCAGACUUGAUAUGUAUGUAUUCUCAAUGAGAAGUUUGUAAGUAUAAUAAAAUAUUUCAAUAAGUAGAUUUCUCUACCGAUGCAGAUUGAUUGAUAGUCCUCUGUAAAUUGCUCUCCUUGGACAUUGGUCUUUGUUUUUUUCUUUAUAGUUAGCUUGGUCGUUCUAAAAAUAUAUAUUGACCUGGAGGGUGUAAAAAAGUGUCAACGAGGGUGUAAUACAGUAAUUUCCGUCAUGUUUUUGCUAAAUUGUGGGUCUUCUUUAGGCAAACCAGAGGAAGAGGCAAUGGCAUGAUCCUUUUGUGAGUCGUGAGUUGGAUCGGUUGAAGUUGGGAGGGUGUCGUGUUCACUUCCUAGCAUCAAAAUCACAUUUGACAAUGGCAUGUUUUGCUCAUAUUGUUGGACUCAAGUUCAAUCCUACGUCUGUCUUCUGAGAUGAAACCAAAAAUAGGUGAUGGUAAGCCUUAGCAUAUAAACAUACAAAUAAUACAUUUUUAAAGGAAAAAAAUGUGUUUAUCUACAGUAUUUGUAAUAACUUACCUGCUAUUCUAUUCACCAAUCUGGUAUAAGACAUAUACACAACCACACACAAGAUUGUAACCCCCAAAACAGAAAGACCAACAACUAAAGGAACAACAAGUUUCUGAAAUUCUGAUCGCCCUUUGACUUGAUGCCCUGAAAACAAGUUUUCGUGAAAAAUAAAUAAAUAAACUAUUUACAAGAUUUUUUUACGCGAGUCAUGCAGUUAAUAAAAUUUACUAAAUAAUCAACCACAAAACGUGACUAAAGGGCUAUCAGAUAUUUUGCUUGAUUUAGAAAUGAAACGUGUAGAAUUUCCUAUGUUUUCUUAACAAACUUAUCUGCUCUUAAUUUUAUAGACAUGAUCAUCUCUCAUUAAUUUCUUUUUAUAUAUCAUUCUUUCGCAAAUUAAUGCAAAUUCUGUGAAAGGUACAAUCGGUUCAGAACUGUUGCAAGUUAAAUUGACAGAUAUUAAAAAGUACCUGCAGAAACACGGAUGGAGAUAUUAUGUCUGCCCUAUGCUUUGAGAUUAUGAAGCUGAGAAUGCCAGAACCAACAACCUUGGGUAUCAAGGCAGCUUUCAUCCACCAGUUGUUCCUCUUGCUAAGAUGUAUAAGCAUAUGCUACACACUCAUGACAUUUCUCUAUGCAUAAAGACUUGUUAUUUGAUUUUUGAAAGGUCACAUAUGUAUCACCAACACUAAUCAUAGUAAGAUUCACGAAUGUAUCUGUAGUAUUCUCACAGAUUUCAGAUUUUCUCUUGCAUCCAACCUUAUGAUCCCUUUGUAAAGCACACUGAAAUCCAAUCAAACAACUACUACACAAUGGCUAAUGAUCAUUUGGUUGGUUGCAUAUCCGAAUGACCCACACACAUGGUAUUCGCUACAAUAAUCUCUAGGCGCUUCCCAUUCCAAAACCCAUUGUUUACUCGCUUUUCACCAACUAAAAUACUGUAAAUGGCCUGUGUAGUUUAUUACCAACCUUGAGUAAGGAUUGGUCACAAUAUAAGUUAUGUUAUAAGUUGUAAUUACUUGUUGAUCUCCUGUGGUUGUGUUUGAUAGCAAACUCACAGCCUCGGGGAACAUUUUGUUGUCAUCAAAGCUGUUCUUUGGAUUUCUGCUUUUCCAAUGAUAUGUUGUAUCUUUCAUAAUAACGAAGUAUUGGUUGCCUCUUUCAUCUUGCCGAAAUAGGUAGCUUCCAGUUCCUGGAUCAUUGAGACUUUUCCAUGAUGUCACCGUUAAACUUUUGUCCAACUUCAUUCCAGUAUUUGUUGCUGUUUGUUUUUUCUAAAAAAACCACUUCAGACCACUUAUUGUUGCGCGCCGCAACACACACGCAACACUUGACUCUUCAUAGCUGUUUGUUCUUCAAAGCUGUUUGUUUUUUAGAAGACUUCUGACUUAAAAACCAUUGCGCGUCUGUUGCAUGGCGCAACACUAGGUCAAUUGUUUCAAACCUCUUUACACCUUACUUUAACUUACUACAGCAGUAUGCAGACGUUAAAAAACAAACAUACUUUUUAUUAAAUGUUGCAGCCGUUUGGUCCACCUCUUCUGCUACAAAGAGUUGCAGAGAUGGUCUGCAGACUUCAGGCAUUUUCGCUUCAAAAAAACAAACAACACCUUGGUGUUUUAAAACUCUGCCAUAAUGUUUUUCCUGCUGCAUCCUCGAUAAACUUAACAUUUCGGGUACCAAACAGCUUCAAGGUCCUUGAACCAGUUCCUUCUGAAAACACCAUAAUGUAAAUAAUUCGUCAUUUUUCCAUGAAAAUUGAAGGUAUUAUUAGUAACUUGGCAUCACGGGAUUUAUGAACAAAUAUUUGCACUUAAUGCAUGAUGACUUUUUUAAAAGGCAAUAAGCUUAAGUGAAGUCUCAAACUAUGCUUUUUUAUCUUUUUGGUCCUUCAUUUGACUAAAUACAAAUAUUCACCAAAUUUAUGAACAAAUAUUUUUUUUUAUAAAAUAAGUAUAUUUGUUUAAUAAAAAUAAAGAUAAAUCUCGAAAUAACAUCACAUACAAAUUAAAAAUAGAUAAAUUGAUGUUUUUAUACUUCAAUUUUUUAAUUGAAAACGAAAAUAUUCAAUGAUGUAUUGUAGUUUGAAUAUUUUAUAUAAAGUUUAAAAAAAAAUUUAUUUUUAUAUUAAAUAAAAUAAAUUCGCAUUAUGAUUAAAGUUAGUAUGUUUUAUUUUUUUCUUAUUUAUAUAAAUAUUACAUUUUCUAUGUUUUAGUUUUAUGAAUUUUUAUAUGAUUUAUGUUAAUUAACAUGAUAUUUAAUAGAUUUUCUUAAAUUUCAGAAACGGUAUUGAGACGGAAUUUCACAAAUGAUCAUUAGACAAAGUUUCAUAAAAUGUCUAAAAUAAUUCUUAUCUAAAAUUCAUACACCUUAACGUAUCCAUGUAAUGAACAUUCAUCGCAAGGACCAGUANGGUGGGCGGAGUAAAGGAAAUAUGUUACUUAAUUUUAAGUUUUACGAGGAGUGGAAAUCUUACAAGACGAUUUAUUUAUUAAUCGUCCUCCAAAAGAGAGAUUAUUGAGUUGUGGACAAUGGUUGAUUCUGGUGGGCAUCAAGGGUGGCGCAUAUCUAACUAAUUAUUGUGCGGAUAUCGUAUGUAUGAGAAUUACUAAGAGAAUAAGUUGUUUAGCAAUGCGAAUACGUUCAACCUUACAAAAAUAUCGUCAUUUCCAUGCAUCUUUGCUAAUUAUUAUUUAUUUUUGUUCUCACACAUUGUUUUUCAGUCAUUUUCAUUCGAACAAAAUACGACCCAAUAAACAUUCUGACAGAAAUGAAAAUAAUAAUAAUAAGUGUAUAAUAACCUUAUAUACGAUUUAAUUAGUGAAAUAUAUGUUAAUGACAAUAUUUAUGUAAGAUUAAACGUAUUAUAUUAUCAAACAAUAUACCCAUUUUUAUAAUUAAAUAGUUCAUUAUAAAAUAAUGAUGGAUAGAUUUUUUUAUAAUAUACAAAUCAUUUUCAUUUUUUAAAUCUAUUUAAUAAGACAUUUUAUUAAAACUAUGUUAUAAAAUAUUAUAAAGUAUUAAUAAUAUAUUCUUUGUGACGUUUUAUUCGUUUAUUUUAAAGUCUUGUUCUAAUUUUUUUUAUUUUUUUAACAAUUUUUAAUGUUUUAUUUAAAGUAUUUUUUAAUGUUUUAUUAUUGUUUCUUCAUGUCUAACUAAUUUAUUUUAAAAAAUGUAUUCUUGUUUGUAUAAUUAAUUUUCUGUAAAAGUGGAUUUUUUUUUUAAAUCUUUGACGUUUUGUUUGAAUAUAUUGUUUAAUGUUUCUUGUUGUUUUGUUUGAAGAUAUUGUUUACUAUAUAUAUUCGAACAAACGUUUAAAAAUUAAAAUAAAUAUCCGAAAUCAUAAAGAUAAAUAUAAUAAUAGUUAGAAUUAAAUAACAUAUAACGACAAGCUAAUAUUUCUAAUCAGAUAAAUAUGUUGAUUUUCUAAAACUUAUUCUUGUUUGUACAUUUGUAUAACUAAAAAACAAGCAAAAUGUAAAAACAAAACAUUAUUUAUUUAUCUUUGUUUGUAUAGUUUAUAAAAUAUUUUCUAACGGCGGAUUUUUUUAAAUGUUUGACGUUUUGUUGUUUGAUUAUAUAUAUAUAUAUAUAUAUAUAUAUAUAUGUAUAUAUACAUAUAUAUAUAUANNNNNNNNNNNNNNNNNNNNNNNNNNNNNNNNNNNNNNNNNNNNNNNNNNNNNNNNNNNNNNNNNNNNNNNNNNNNNNNNNNNNNNNNNNNNNNNNNNNNNNNNNNNNNNNNNNNNNNNNNNNNNNNNNNNNNNNNNNNNNNNNNNNNNNNNNNNNNNNNNNNNNNNNNNNNNNNNNNNNNNNNNNNNNNNNNNNNNNNNUAGUAACUUUACUUAUAUAAAAAAAAAUAACUAAAAAUAUAUAAAUUCAUAAUUUUUUAAGUCUAUCCAUACUGGUAUUCGAUAUUUUUACAUAAAACAUAAAAUAUGCACUAUUAUGCACAUCAUUAGAAAAAUAUUUUUUUUUUAAAUUUUUUUUCAACUAAUCACCUUCUUUAGCAAGGUUUUAACUUAUUAAAAUGUUUUUGAUCCGUACAUUAAUGUGCACAUAUACAUAUUUGCAUAUAUGCAUAUUUUAAUAUGUGUAUAUAUGCAUAUGGUGCACAAUUUACUUAAAUUUUUUUCAACUAUUAAUAUAGAAAGAUAUUAAAAAAAUAUUGAAUUUAAAUAUUUUUAGUUAUUUUUUAUGAUACGAGAUGAACUCUAAAAUAAUGUGUAAAAAAUUAUGCACAUUUGAGUUUGUGCAUAUAUGCAUAUUUUUUCAAAGUUUUAUAGAUAGUUAUUUAAAACGUCUUAAUUUGCUAAGACUUUACUGUAGAAGGUAAUUCGUUGAAAAAGAAAUUAAAAAAUGUUUUUUUCAAUAGAAAUGUGCAUAUGGUGCAUACUUUUCAUACAAAAAAUUAUUUUAUUUUUCAAAUAUUAAUAUGGAAAGAGGAUGAAAAAUAAUGAAUUAACAAUUUUUUUGAUAUUGUUUAGGAUAGACAAAACUGCACAAAUGGUCCCUGUGGUUAGCUGAAAAAUGUCACUUUGGUCCAAAAAGGUUUUGACUAGCACCAGAGGUCCAAACUUUUCAUUUUGUUGCAAGUUUGGUCCAAUUUUCUAUAAACUUUUUCAUAAUGACUAUUUUACCCUUGUUACUUUCUUUUUCUAUUUAUUUAUUUAUUUAAAUGCUUAUUCUGAUUAAAAGAAAAAUAAAAAUCUCUCUCGCUCCC